UGGCCUUAUAGUAAGUGGUCAUGCAGCUGAGAUGGAAAGCGCUAUACUGUAUGGCCCCCACCAGCUCACCUAGGGUGCAGCCAUCAAAGUCCUCCAAGUCCUUCUUGCUCACGAGUUUAGAUAGCUCGUUGAGAUAAGGGGCCAAGUGCUCUGCUCGGUUGUUAGAUAAACGAGAUUUAGGCCCGACCGGAGGAGAAGAGGAAGCAGGAUCAGCGGCUGCUCCACUAGUUUCUUUGACUUUGGAAUGAAGAGGAGGUAGAGUCUUCAAGGGAGGAACCUGCUGCACAAUGUUCACCCGCUUCGCAGUGGGAGCGUCCUUGUUCUGGUCCCUCUUCGCAGUUUGAGGUCGAGGACGUUUCCGAGUCAGAGCUCCAAUCACAGCAUCCUCCAUCUUAUGGCCGGGGGGCACCAAACAAGACUCGAGUAGGUUAUAAGCAGUUAUUAGCUCUCGACUCAAGCAGAAAUUGGCCAGUACAGCCUCGACCUGUUUGAGCUGGUUAGGUUUGAGUAGGAAGUGAACACCCCAAGAACCUGCAAUACAAACAGACAUUUGGUUAGAGACAAACCAGUAAAGCGAGAACAAUUAUGGAUACAAGACAUCUAAAGUGAGCAGGCAACCUGGGACCACGAAAUGGGGUGGGACGCGAUAAUCCUUCCUGUCAAUCUGUGCAACUUGACUCCAGGGACCGCCAGUAAAAAAGAACUUUUUCUUCCAAUUCCCAACACCACCAGUAGGGAGGUCGGUUAUGGGUUUCCUGGUCUUAGUACUUGAUUGGAAGUAAUACCAGCCAGCAUCUUUGGGGCUACUUUUCAGCUGGUACAGAUGCUUCACCUCAUCAAUUGUGGGCUCACUUUGGCAACAUCUGUCCCACAAUAUGAAUAGACCAGAGAGUACUCUCCACCCGCUGGGGUUCAGCUGACCAGGAGCUAGAUUUAGCCCUUUAAGAAUCUGGGCAAAGUAGGGUUGCAAGGGACACCUCAGUCCAUACUUAAAACUCUCCAAAAAUAAGGUAACAUAUCCCCUAGGAGGCCGGCUAGGGGUAUCCUUCUUUCUUGGGAUCUUAAGAGGUAUUUCACCACGAAUACUAUACCUAAGCCGGAGGUCAGUGAGCGCGUCAAAUGUGGUCAUGCACGUAAUAUAAUCAAUAGCGUAAUCCCGCGAUAGGGCUCUACCCCCUACUGUACUCCGCCCUUCUGGUCGCGAUAUUCCCGAUGAGGAUACCUCACCAGAGUCACCCCCUCGAUCCUCAUUCAGGGUGUUUUCUGAGCCAAAAGAUCCCUCCUCACUACUAUUUCCACUCAAGGAGGCUGUUUGGGGGGACAUCCUCCUAGAACUAGUCCCAACACUAGACCUAAUGGGCUUCAAAGGGAUCCCGGGGUCAAAAGUAAGAUCGGUGAGCAGACUAGGCAGGAAGUCCAACUCAUCGUCAUCAACCUCAAUGACUUUCUCUUUACCUUUCGACAUUCCCUAAAUUAUAACCAGAGCACCACCACCAACCACUACCCAAGCAAAGCAAAGAGAAAAGAAAUUAUCUACAACUAUCCAAGACCGAGAAAAUAAGAGAAAUACCUGAAGAAAGGGCUCGGUCAGAAAGAGACAGGGAUGGAAGCCUUAAUGCCGAAGUUCAUUCGCCGGAGAGACAAUAAGGGAGAAGAUGACGAGUUCUCGUUUAGGGGUUUUGGGUUUUCCUACUGAGGAACAAAUUCUUGGGAUGCCAGCAAUUAACGGCACAUAUCCCAAGAGUCUUACAACCGUAGGUUUGAAAUUCAAAUGGAGGGGUAGAUUUCUGCCACAUCACCUCAUCCGCAAUUAAAUGCAACACGAUUCUUGGCAGCCUUUUCCAAUCCCGCGCGAGCCAGAACUGUCGAGUUUCUACUGUCGGCUCACUAUGUUACCCAACACCAGAAACUGGGGGACCAGUGUUUGUGGGAUAUGCUUCGACGAAGACCAGCAGUGAUGGUCAGACAUCUGGUAGCAGGGUUCCUCGAACAGGUAUAUCUUGUAAGAGUCUGGUAGCCGGGGGGGCAGGAGCAGGAAUAUCCUGCUCGUCCGCGAGUACGUCAUCCACGAGGCCAAUCUCCUGCUGGAAGCAUAAAGCCAUUCCUGCUAAGGGUUGAGUCGAAAAGACCCGGUCAACGACAGUUGGCGAGACGUGCUCGCCAGUCCGAGAAUCAAGGCACGAAGGCCACGCAACCACCCACGACUACAGAAAUGGGGCAUCCACUUUCAAGAGGUGGGAGAAUAACGAGCGCGAAUGGAGGGAAGGCCUGAGUUCAGGAGGGGCCUAUAAAAAGGUAGCCAACGAAGGUAAAAGGGUUAGAAUUUUUUAGAUUAGAACUGAGAAAAGAAGAGAGAGCUCUACAGAAUUGAUACACCAUAAGAUUUGUGGCUAGCAUUCCCAGGAACACAAAAACCUUCAUUUCUAACUUGAGCGUCGGAGGGUUUAUGCCGGGCAAACAACCGUCGUGCUCUGACCUGUUUCUAUGUACGUAGGGACUUCUGGAGAAGAAGCCUUACGAGGAGAGAUCCUGAUGGUAAUAGAGUUGAUCGAGCAGAGAUCCUGGUCAUGGUAGGAAGGGUAACCAGAACCUCGCAUCAAUAGUCUCUUCAUCAAGUUUUGCUGCUAGAUCAGCAGCUUCAGGAGUUGAAUUACAGUCAUCAGUAUCCCCACAUGCUGACAUGAUAGCCCUGCAUUUGAUUCAUUGAUUUAUUGAAGAUAUAAGAGUUGAUUUCAAAGCAAUUAUCACCUAAUCGAACACAAAGCCAUGAGUUAUUAUACUUAAAUGAAAGCAAACAUCAACCUCAGGAUCACAUUGCAGUUGUUAAUAAACACCAAAGCGUCUGGAUGAUUAACAUUGAAUGCUUCUCCUACUGAUUGCUCAUUCUCUAUAGCCCAGUUGGUUAUCGACAGUUCGACACACCUUUAGUUGCAUAUUUGUCAGUCACAAUAGACCUAAAUCGGUUUACUUGCUCACGGAACUUUGAAAGUUACCUGCUUGCUGUAGGCCAUCAAAUAAGCCACCACAACCUGCGAAAUUAUCUAAUGUGGCUAAGCAAUUCUUAGAUAUUCAGAUUUUACUCCAUUCAAUAAAAAAUGAUAUCUACUAGUUUAAAAAAAAACUAGUAGUAUAAGACAAAGGAAAAAAAGAACACGUAAAAUGUUUAGAUUUUACUCCAUUCAAUAAAAAAAGAAAUAUUUAGAUCGGUUCCUAGAGCAUACUUACUUCUCUAAUGUCAGAGUAGUAUGCUUUCUCCUCUGAUAUGAUGAUGAGCUACGUAGACAUAAUCAUGAACAUGGCAGUAGAUGGUACUCCGUUCCUUUGAGAGUGAACCAUUUCUGUUCAAAUUUACCUUGAAAACGUCCUUCUUCCUCUCGGUUUCCUUUAUUUUACAAGAAUGGCAAGCUCCUGUUCCAAGUCCCAUGGUAUCUUUUUGAAGCUUAAAGAAAGCACCUCUCUCAGGCCAGUACAAGCUUUUACAAUAAUAUUCCAUGGGGAAUUGAUCAAUUCUUCUAUCCUCUGCUCUUUCACGAACAAUUUUGUCCUUGCAAGCAUUAGUAUUCCGAUGUUGAUGCCCCCAAAGAAUCAAUAAGAUUUCAACUGCCACAACUUCUUUAACAUCUUCCAGUUCAAUUUCCAAGCAAUCAUUUGUCAAAAAAACCUCAUUAGAAUCUGCAGUUUUAUUACAAGAAACGUUUCAGAGCCUCUUAGCAUGUGUCUGCCAUGAACCAUCUUUCUUGAAUCUGACUUUUCAAACAUAAACUCUACAAAAUAUAUUAAAGGCAAAUGAUCUGAAUCUGCAGUUUCAACCAGCACGCAACCACCAACAUUAACCACAUUGCCACAAACAAUGGCACGUUUGUAAAGAGACUCACUCAAACAUGUUUUUCUUAUUAACUCCCCAUCCCAUUUCGUAGCCUUCGAAGAGCAAGGUGGCUUAACACUUUUCGCAGAUAAACAAAAUUUCUCCAUAUUCUUAUCAACUUGCAUCUGUUCCACUUUAAUGUCUUCGGGAUAUUCCUCACUAUUUUCUCCAUGUUCUGCAUCGAGUUCUUCAUCCACUUUCACUUCACGGCUAUAUGCCUCUUUGAAUCUUCAGGCAAAUAAUUUGAGUAAAACUCUUCCCAAAUCCUCUUUAUCAAUCUCGUGGUUGUUGCUUGCAUUACCUUUUUUUUUAUACUCUCAUAUUUGAAUUUAUUUCCUUCUUCAGCACCACAUUUUUUUUCACUAAAGACCUGGUGUGGCGUCUUUCCUCCAUUUUUUCAAAAAGACCAGACACAAAUGCACACUUGCUGAUCCUUUUACUAGGAAGCUCUGCAAAUUGUUGGAGUAUGAUAUGUCCAUGAACCACCACAUACCUUUCAACUUCUGUGGGAUUGGAAGAAAUAUAAGCAGGAUUAGUCUUACUGAACUUGGACACUUUUUUUAUUACAUCUACAAAACGAGAGUCGAGAUGCUCAACUCUGAUUGUCCAACAUUGUAAUGAGGGCAAUAGCAAGCCUCGCAGUUUUUAGAACUGGUUUGUACCACGUUGCAUACUGCUUUAAUGGCCUUCCAAGCCUAUACCUAAAAACAAAAUCGCAAAUUUGAUAAGAACUAACACUGACAGAAGAUAAAGAGGACAAAAAGGCAAGCUUAAGCACUAGUACCACCACCAAACCUCUUGGUAGUAUAUGGAUAUUGAUGUAUACCAGGAAAUAUCUGUCCGAACUGAUAUGGAAAUGAACGAGUAUCCAAAUUCGAUCAUCCAUUCCUGUAUUGCACUCAAAUAUACUGGUAGUCCCCCAACAUUCUCUGCCACAGAUGAAGACUGAUCAAAAUUAGCAUCAACACAUAAUCCACUUGAAUCACCAGUUGUCAUAAUCCCAGAUCCAAAGAUGGUAAUAUCAUUAUCAUCACAUGGUUUCAUUGGGAGGAGCUCUAAAGAAAUCAACCGCGAAUCUAAGUUGUGAAGUGACCAAUUGUAAAGCAUUCUUCGAGGAAGCUCGUCAGGAUUAAUUGCAUCAAAGAUUAAAUACUCAUCAUUUUCCUCCUCAUUGGGCUUGUAAUAUGCAGGCAGAGGAUAGUCAUCAACAAUUUCAUCCUCAUUGAUUUUACAGCAGAACUUGCUUGAUGAAGCAACUCUCCUCUGAGUUUUAUUAUGUUUCGUUGAUUGCCAAUUCUCCUCUUCCUACAACAGCCUUGCCAAUUUCAUAUCUUUAUCUUCUUCACCUCCAGAAGCAGAUGAACUAGACUGAUUAUUUUGCACUUCUUCACCAAUUCUCAUACCUGUAUUUAUGAGACUGCUGGAUGCACUGGUUUCCAGAGUAAUUAAACUCCCUUGCUUCUUAGUUUCAUCCAGCAAUGCAAGGAGCACAGGCAAGUUCUCAAAGAUCUGAUCAUUUUUCUUGGAUGUCUCAUCUAAACCGAUGAGUUGAUUAUAUAUGAAUUCACCCUGUGAGAUUAUAAAUUCCUUCAUAGGUGUCCUGUGAGGAAAAUUCUUGCUAUCACUCAUGGAACGAACAACUCCUGCAAGCAAUUCAUCGACAGUCUGAUCAGGGUUCCCUCCACAAGUCCUUGAAAGUUUUAUAGACCUCCACAGAGGCACAAGCCUUUUCAUAGAAAAGGUUAUAUAGCAUUUUAUAACUAUUAGCAGGUUUAACACAAUUAUAGUCUACAGUGACAGUUGAAAUCCAAAAUACCGGUGAGCCUUCCUCAUAUCCAGAUAUUGCCCAAGAUUCAACUCGUCCGAAAUCUUCACAUCUAACACCUCUUUUAUAACAUCCCAAAACUAACACGUGUGGAGCACGUGAAGAAGGAGGUUACUUACAAAUCAUAAUCCUUAUUCAUAAAUUCCAAAUUGAAAUACCUCAAAUUCUUAUUCAAUUAUAUCCACAAAUUCAAACGUCCAACACUAAAUAAGCUCUCACAAAACAUAACAAUAACAAAAGUCUCAAACUCUAAAUUACAAGUUCAUAACGAAAAUAAACUAAAUAGAAACAUGAGUCUAUUCCUUUUCUUAUUCAAAUGGCAAACGGAAAUGAAAAUUACUAACUCCAAAGCUAAGCGCACCUCUCAAAAGAAACUUAAUAUGCAAAAAGUAAUGACGAGGGGUGAGCCGUCAACUCGGUAAGUAAAACCAUUCCUAACACACUAUGCCUAUCGAUACUAAAAAUAUUGCAAGCCUUCUUUUGUUUAAAACAUAUAUCAUAAUCCAUAAAUUUCAUAAAACGAUAUAUCACGAUAACAUAACAUAAAUUCUUAAUAAUUUAGAAAAUUCAAAAGCAUAUUUACUUACGAAGCAAAUCAUAUAAUAUUAGGGAUGUCAAUGGGGCGGGUUCGGGUGGGGAUCAUGAUCCCCGAACCCGAACCCGAACCCGAUUUAGAAGCAAUCCCCCGAACCCGCCCCAUACCCGAAAAAUUCUAAUGGGGAAUUGUUUGGGUAUAUCCCCGAAAAUCCCCGAAUUGAGCGGGGAUUAAAACGGGGACCCGAUCCCCAUUUUUUAAAUAAAUAUUUCAGUUUUCUUUUUUUUAAAUAAUAAUAAUUCUAACAACCUCCAUAUUUAGAAAUAAAAUUACAAAUAAUCAAAUUUCAUAUUAGAAAUAAAAUUACAAGUGAUCAAAUUUUAACAACCUCCACAUAAAUAAAAACAUAAUAAUUUUAAGCCUUCAACAUAAUUACAAAUGAUUAAAUUUUAUACGACAAAUCAAAAUAAUUUUAAGUUUUCAACAUAAACUUGUAGCCAUCACCAUUGAUGCACAUUCUAAGAUUCUUCAUAAACCUAUCACAACAUAAACAAAAAAAAUUAAUAAAAACAUGUUUUAACAAUUCAACUUAAUAAAUACUUGACAAGAUAAUAUAAACUAAAACUAUAUACCUCUAUAGCCUCUACAUCUGUUUCAAUCUCUAGCUCCUCAUCAAGAAUCUUGGCAUAUGCUGGAGAGGUCGAUGCCACAACUACUUAAAAAAUAUAAAUAUAAAUAUCAAGUUAAUUAUUAGUUAAUUUAAAUAAAUAAAAAUACAAAAAUUAAAAUGCAAACUAUAUACCUCCACAAAGAGCACGUAUCCAACUUUGACUACACAUCAAAGCCUCUAAUGUGCUUGGAUGAAGUCUAUUGCGAUAUGGGCUUACAAAUCGACCGCCAGUGCUGAAAGCAGAUUCAGAAGCAACAGUGGUAACUGGAAUAGCCAAAAUAUCUCUUGCAAUUUGAGACAAUAUAGGAUAGUUACCACCAUUCACCUUCCACCAAGCUAAAACAUCAAAUUCUUCCUCAACAUUAAAUGGUACUAACUUUUCACCCAAAUAAGUGUCUAGUUCAUCCUUUACUUCCUCAUUACCAACAUUAACAAAACUAGUAAACCCCAAAAUCCAUUCAGUUGAACCCUUAUAGGAACCCGAACUCGGCAUAGAAUGCGAAGUACUUAAAGAACUAGAACUAUAUCCAGGAGAACUAGCAGCUGAUGCAUAUCUAGCUUUGUACUCUUUCACUAUACUUUGACAAUCACCAUACACUAUCUGGACACGAGAAGUAGCAUCAUCCCCAUAAAUCAUGGAAAAGUAAUAUUCAACCAACCUAAUUUUGAACCUAGGAUCAAAGAUACAUGCAAUAGACAGUAUUCCACUCAUGUCAUGCCAAUACUUAUCAAACUUUUCAAUCAUUUUCUGUGCCAUGAUUCUAAAUUCAUCAUACCUAGGAGUUGAAACCCAUUCAUUCAGGCAAAAUCUAAUAUCACACACAUGGCGCAGAAAUAGAUUAGAUGUUGGAUAACUAGUACCAGAAAAUAAUGUUGUACAAUCAUAAAAACAUUUCAAAUUAUUUUCUAAGGCACUAGCCAAUUACCAAUCAUGCUCACUAGGCAAACACUUAUAUUGUCCAUCAAUAUUCUUCAAUCGACAAAAAACGUUCUUAUAAUGUAAUGCAGAGCAUAUCAUGAGAUAAGUAGAAUUCCACCUAGUUGGAAAAUCUUGUACUAGUUUUCUACCAGAAGUAAUGCCUAAUUUACCUGCAUUCUCAUCAAAUGUCGAUUUCCUUUUAGUUGAUCCUGACCAAAAAAUAACACUCUCACGAAUGUUUUCAAUUAGAUCACCAAUCACACUUAAACCAUCCUUUACAAUCAAAUUUAGAAUGUGGGCACAACAACGAACAUGAAGCUUUUGUCCACCCAAAAUGAGAUCAUUUUUAUCUAGUGCCAACAACAUAAAAUCAAUCAUACGAUCAUUAGUAGCAGCAUUGUCAACAGUUAUGGAGGAUAACUUACGCUCAAUGUUGAACUCCAAUAACGAACCCAUCAGCUUAUCACAAAGCACUUGGCCUGUGUGAGAACCAGGCACUUCCAAAAAACUAAAAAAAAAAAAGAUCAUUAACAAUUAAAAAAAAAUCAGAUUGAUCACUAAUAAUUAAAAAAAAUCAGAUUGAUCAUUAACAAUUAAAAAAAAAUCAGAUUGGUCACUAAUAAUUAAAAAAAUCAUAACAGUAAGAAUUUUACCUCAAAAGUAUGCUCCGUAAUGCCCAAGCAUCGUCAAUAAAGUGUGCAGUGAUUGCCAUAUAUGCUUUUGUUUGAUUUUCUGCAGUCCACAUAUCAGUUGUAAUGGCAAUUCUACCUUGAGUUUGCUCCAAUACACUAAGAUAUUUGGCCCUUUCACACUCAUACAUGUCUAAAAUCUCCUUCUUGAUAGUAUUUCGAGACACCUGCUUCCACAAUUGAUUCAAAGAAGACAUAACAUCCCUCAGACCCUGAUGCUCUACAAUGCUCAGAGGGUACUCAUGCAUGACAAUAGCACGUGCCAUUUUUCUCCUCGUAACAUCAGGAUCAAAAUGAGUUUCUACUGCAGUCUUCCCUUUUUCACCAGCAGCUUUCUUUGCCAGUGGGAAUUCUGUGGCCUCUAUUUCCUUUUUCACUUGACAUGUCUUCAAAUGAUCGUGCAAGUGCUUUGUUCCAUCACUACUCCUUGCUACCAAUGCAUUUUUACAAUAAUUGCAGACAGCCUUAUCAAUCCUGUUAAUUUUUUUCUUCUCGAAAUGCUCCCACACAAUUGACCUCAACCUUCCUUUUCGUCGCAACCCACCAUGAGUAACACUAGCGGCUGAUUCACCUUGAGUAUGAUUGCCUUCAUCAUCCAUUAAGUGUGGUGUGGGCACAGAACUUGACAUAUUAAAUGUUGAACCUACAAUCAAGCCAAUAAGCAAAAUUUUAAAAUGAAAAUAAAACUAGCAUUUUACUAGAAGCAAACAAUUAAGAACUAUGCAGAUACAAAACAUUAAAUCUGAUUUUACCAUGUACUGGAUUUAAAACCAACUAGUACUAAGAUAUUUAAAGAUAAAAUACAAAUACUCGCUUAUUCUUUGGCUGCAACGAACAUUUACUAAUUAAGCAUCUAUAAUUUCUAGUUAUAUUUAAUGGUUAAUGAUGCUUAAUUGACUUACAGAAUGCCAAAGGUAAUAUAAAAACUAAAUUCUGGAAGUUAUUAAAUUUCUCCUAAAAAAUAUGACCUGAACUAAAAGCAAGAGCAAAAUCUGUACCCCCAGAUGUGAAAACCAAUAAUAUUUCAGAAAGCAGGAGGGCUUUGGUUCUGAACAAACCCAAAUCAGCAGAAGGGGCAGUGGGAUCCCAUAAAGAAUGUCAAAGGAAAUAUUAUUACCCAAGUUUGUCAAUACCUCAAUUUAUUAUUCUGCUCAACAAAAGUAAAUUAAUUAAUUAAAAUAAUAAAUAAAAAAUGUCCUCUUGGAUGUUUCAGCAAACUAAAAUAGAACUAGUUAAAUUCCUUCAGCUUCGAAACUAGCUAGCUAAAGGAAAAUGUUAAGAAUAAUGCAAAAACAAGAAUAAAAGAAAAGAAAAGCAAGCGGCCAAAAGAAAAGAAAAGCAAGCGGCCAAUAUGCAAGCAAGCAAUUAAACCCUGGAAAUUUAACACAGAGCUAAAAGAAAAUCAUGACUACCCAAGCUAUAAACCAAUUAAACCCUUAAAGUUUCAGUUGAUAGCAUAGGCAAACUAAUAAAGCUAAUAUUACUGACAAACAAAUUGCAGCCAGUAUCCAAAGGAAGUGCUAAAAAUGACAAUCAAAUGCAACUCAAUGACUCAUUACUGACAAACAAGCACGCAUAGAGACACCCAAAUCAAUGAAACCAGAUGCAAUUCGAAAUAAAUAAACAAAGAAAGAAAAGUAGAAAAGGCAAAAACCUUGUUGCAAGAGAACCAACAGGUGCAGCUGAGUGUUGGUCGGUGACGACGAACGGUGGCGGCUGACCAGCUGUUAGCGAUGACGGUAGCUCACGAACUGUUAGGGUUUCUUUUGGGGGAAAAAAUUUGAUUCGAUGGCAUUACAAUUUCUAAUUUCAAAGUUUAAAAUAUUAGAUUUUUUUUUGUUUUUAUUUUCGGGUUGAGUUAGGGGAUCCAGAAAAUCUCUAAACCCAAACCCAAAACGUUUUGGGGUUUUAGACCCAUACCCAAAUAGACCCGAAUUUACUUUUAGACUUUUUUGGGGCCCCAUACCCGCCCCAAAUUAAUCGGGGCCCCGCGGGUUUGGAGCCCCGUGGGUAUUGUUGCCAACUCUAUAUAAUACAUAUACAGAAAACAAAAGAUUAUCUCAUGUCACAUAGUGUCACCUAUAGUCCCGGUGACCCGACCAGAAACAGAAUCAGAAUAUCGUGUGCACACUCAGAACAGAAACCUAGUACUAGUCUAGACAGAUAUAUCGUAUAUUACGAUCAGAAUCAGAAUAAAAAUAACUAUGGACAAUUAGUCAAAACAUUAGGAAUCCCAUACAAUCAUCAAUAAUUGAAAUCAAACAUGGCUACAAAACAUUCGUAUCAUAUUCAUAAAAGUCCAUAUCAAUAAUUUAGGCUUGCAUAAUAUUUUAAAGAUAAAAUCAUAAAAGGUUUUCAUGUCAUAAAAUCAUUUACAUAUUAAAAAGAAUAUAGGUUUGAAAACAUUUACAUAAAACUAAUUUUGUUAUCAAAAUCAAUUAAUCCUUUAAGUAGUAUAAAAAUAUUUAUACUUAUAAUAAUAAUAUCAAAAUACUUAUACAUAUCUAGUAUACUAGGAAUGAAGUUACUUACGAAAGCAAAUCAUAUAUCACAUUCACAGAAAAACAAAAGGUUAGUUCAUGUCACAUAGUGUCACCUAUAGUCCCGGUGACCCGGCCAGAAACAGAAUCAGAAUCAGAAUAUCAUGUGCACACUCGGAACAGAAAUCUAAUACUGGUCUAGAACAUACAUAUAUCGUAUUAUACGAUCAGAAUCAGAAUCAGAAUAACUACAGACAAUGAGCCAAAACAUAAUGACUUAUACGUGGCACUUUGCACUAUUUGUGGCACUUUGCGACGCUUUGGCCUUCAAGAAGUGGUCCCCAUAUAGUCCCAAGAGGUGACCCCCGUACAAUCACAAAGAAUUGAAAACAUUCAUAAGCACAAAAACAUUCGCAUCAGUUUCAUAAAUGUCCAUAACAACAAUUUAGGCUUGCAAAAUAUUUUAUAAAUAAAAUCAUAAAAGUAGGCAUGUAACAAAAUAACUUACAUAUUUAAAAAGCAUUUAUAAAACACUUUGUUCAAAAGAAUUUAGGUUUGAAAACAUUUUCAUAAAACUAAUUUUGUUAUGAAAAUCCAUUAAUUUUCUAAGUAGUAUAAAAACAUUUAUACUUAUAAUAAUAAUAUAUUUAUACAUAUUCAGUAUACUAGGAAUGAAGUUACUUACCUCGACUAAAAAAUUUGAAUUAACACGCCUCUAAACCUCUAAGUGCCGCAAUCACCUCCAACACCAAUUGCUUUGAUUCUCUUCUAAAUAAAGGCUUGAAUCCUAGGGUUUGGGUAAGAGCGUAAUGAGCAGCAGGGAAGAAAAGAAACGUCGUGGAUUUAGGGUUAUGGAAGGGGGAAAAUAUGAAUUUAUAGGGAGUCUUAAGUAACCCUAUUGAAUUUGAAAAAAUAAUCCUUUUCCAAAAUUAUCUCAUAAUUAACCCUUAUUUAUAAUUUAAUAUCCCUUUUUAAUAAGGGUUAUAGGCCACGCAUGAUUCCUAAUGAAAGCCCAAUUUCCAUAAUUUAAUGUUAUGGAAAUUUGUGGCGUUACAUCUUUCUUUAUGUCUUCCACAACAUUUUUCAAGAGACAAAAUAAGACCUGAAACGAACAAGUUUCCAACUUCCAACAUUUCAACAGACUUUAGGUUUCCACAAGAAUCAUGAAAAGCAAAUUCUGUUAGCCUUCGAUUUGGUCUACAGUCAUCCUUUCCAGCGGUCAAGCUUAUUGCAACCUCUUCAUUUUCUGCAACAACUUCCCUUGUGCUUUCCACAAAAGAUGCACUUCGAGAGAAGGAAAGAGAUUUUUCCAUGAUAUCCAUACAUGCAGCAGCUCUCUUUGGCAUUUUCCAAGAAUUGGAUGCUUUUUCACUAUUUUUAUGUCUACUUCUCUUAUUGUUUUCCGGUCGUCUCAGACUUCUCGUCUAUAGUAUUAACUUCAAUGACAGAAGGUUGCUUUCCCUUGGCUAUUUUUUCCAUAUCUAGAAAUAAGUAUAAAAUUAAAAACAGGAAUAAAAGCAGAUACUAUUAAACUCCAUGGUUACUUUGGUAUAUGAGGAAAUAAAAUGACCAAAAAGGUACUCUAAUAGAAUAAAUAAGGAAACGAUCGAGUUUGGGAGCGAAAAUUAAUCAUCUAUUUUCUUUUGAUGUGGAUAAAUAAAUGGAAAAGGUAAGCUCACUCAAGUCAAUAAAGACUAAAGCAUGGGGUAACAACAUUCAGAAUCUACAGUAAGGUAUUGACAUUCAGAAUCUAUUGUCACAAAUAAAAAGACAUUUAAACAAUCAGAAAAGUGAGCAACUUAAGGACGACACUUGUUACAUAUGCCAAAUGUGGUAGUCUGGGCAUUCAAAAGUAAUGAAGCAAUCUUUAAAUUAAUGCAUGUCCAGAACACUAUGGAGCAAGCUGCUGAGGAUUCAUCGUGCUUUAUUACAGAAUGUCCUUAAUGGUGUUAUUACUUUCUUCACAUGAACUUUUGAUAACUAUUUUGCCCGAAUUAACACAACUAAAUGUAAAUGACCUACCAAAACUAUUUUACAAGUUGAAGCAAAUUCCAAAAUUAGAUAUAUACAUGGCUAUAUUCUUCGUAUACCACUGACCAAAAAUAUUAGAAAACCAUAGAUGCUAUCAGUAAUUAGAACCCAAAAAAAAAAAAAGAUUCUAGAAAACGGAACAGCUAACUAAUAAGUAUUACAGACCUGUAUUUAUGAAAUUGCUUGAUACAGUUGUUUCCGGAGCCAGUAAACUCCCUUGCUUCUUAGUUUCAUCCAGCAGUGCACGGAGCACAGGCAAGUUCUCAAAUAUCUAAUCAUUUUUCUUGGAUGUUUCAUCUAAACCAAUGAGCUGAUUAUAUAUGAACUCACCCUGUGAGAUUAUAAAUUCCCUCAUAGAUGUCCUGUGAGGAAAAUUCUUGCCAUCACUCAUGGAACGAACAACUCCUGCAAGAAGUUCAUUCAAAGUCAGAUCAGGGUUCCCUCCACAGGUUCUUGACAAUUUCCUAUAGACCUCGACAGAGGCAUGAGCUUUUUCAAUGAAAAGGUAAUAUAGCAUUUUAUAAUUAUUCGCAGGUUUAAUACAAUCAUAAUCUGCUGUGAGUGUUGAGAUCCAAAAUACUGGUAAGCCUUCCUCAUAUCCAGAUAUUGCCCAAGAUUCAAAUCGACCAAAAUCUUUACAUCUAACGCCUUUUUCCUUCUGCCUUCCACCACAUUUUUCAAGAGGCAAUAUAAGACCUGAAACAAACAAGUAACCAACUUCCAACAUUUCAACAGACUUUAGGUUUCCACAAGCAUCAUGAAAGGCAAAGUCUGUUAGCCUUCGAUUCGGUCGAAUGUCAUCCUUCCCAGCAGUCAAGUAUAUAGCAGCCUUCUCAUCUUUCACAACAUCCUCCCAUCUGUUUUCAACAAGAGAUGCCUUUCUGGACAAGCGAAGAGAUUUCUCUUUAAAAUCUGAACAUGCAGCAGCUCUCUUUGGCACCAACUCAGCUUGUUAUUCUCAUGGGGCUGUUUAUAUCUUUGGGGUAUGCAUGAUUUCCAAAACUAUCAACUAUGAAUUAUAUGUUUCAUAAUUUAGUUGUUGCUUUCUCGAUGUUGUAUGCUUAUUUAUUUAUUUAUUGUUCAUUUAUUAGUCUAUGGUUAUUUUUGGUUAGUUCUAGUAUUUUGAUAAAUUCGCCUGGUCGGUUUAUUUCACUAACCAUUAAUGAGAAAAUCCGCCAAGUGAUCCUCAAACUCUUCUACACAAUUAUAAUAAUUUCAGUUUUAUAUAUACAAAAAUGAACAGCUCUCAAACAUUGUUUGAUAAUGACAAAUUUGAUGCUUGUACUUUAAUGUUAUUAUCAUUAAAGUAAUGAGGAACGACAUAUAUUCUCUCUAAACAGUAAAUUCGGAAAUUCAGAACAGAUUCGGUAACAUGUGGCAUUCUACAUUCUUGCAAUGCCAUUUCUUGUUAUGGCAGCAGCAUUUUUUAUCAUCGUUUCUAGAGAGAAUGAAGAGAGAGAGAAAGUAUCAUCUUAUUCCUUGUUAGUUUCUCCGUGUGAGCUCUGUAAAAUUACUUUGAUUCAUAAAUAAAACUCAUUUUGGUCGAUUCUCCCUUGGAUGUAAGUUGUGCCUCAUUGCACAGCUGAACCACGUAAACAGUGCUGGUUUCUGUGUGUGAUUGUUUGUUAAUCUUGCUUGUUUCUUUUUUCCUAAUGGCUGAAAUCUUGCUUUAAGUUCUCAAGUCAUCUAUUGAGUUCAUCGAGGUCAUUCAAUUAUUCAUAUGUAGCUAGUUUGAUCUUGAACAGGGUCUUGGGCAGUGUUUUGAUGGCUUGAUUAGCGGCUAUCUUGACAGUACAAUUGGUAUCAGAACUAGUUCUCCAGAUCGAGAUCCAAGUAUGGCUACAUCAAAGAUUGAUCUCAAGAAGUUCAAUGGAAAGAAUGACUUUAAUAUACAAAACUUGUAUCUAAUGGUUUACAUUUGGAGAUGAUGUAAUAAAGUGCUGUUGAUAAAUUCACCUGGUCGGUUUACUACUUCACUAACCAUUAAUGAGCAAAUCCUCCCAGUGACCCUCAAACUCUUCUACGCAAUUAUAAUAAUUUCAGUUUUAUAUAUACAAAAAUAAACAGCUCUCAAAUAUAUUAUUUGAUAAUGACAAAAACAACAAUUCACUCCAAUAAAUCUCGUAAUAAAUACAUGGUCUAUAUUGCAAGUCUUUUUAGGACUCAUUCAAAAAGAAAACUUAGGGAAUGGCAUUGCAAGAAUAUGGAAUCAGAAUAACAUUGAUACAAAGAGAAAAAAAGGGGAUGGUCGGAUUGAUUUGUUUGCAAAAUUAUUGGUGCAGGGGUCUACUUGUUUUUGUUUCACUUUAUUAAUUAAUUAGCAAAGCAAACAUGUAAUCAUUUGAAAAAGGAUCACUGGUACCCGCUUACGAAAGAUGAAUUUGUAAGACAUUAAUUUAGAUGAAAAUGUGGCGUUAUUAAGUUAUGAGUUCAUUAACUUGAGGUAUUAAUAUUUACUAAUGAUGGUGAUUAAUUUAUUUAACUUGUCAUGGUCUUCAAUUAAGAAUGAAGUGCAAUCAAUUUAUGGAAAAAAUAAUUAUUUUUUUACUUUUUAAGAUUUUAAUUCUUAGGAUUUCAUUUCGCUCUUUUUCGAUUAUUGACGUUGUUGAAGAGGGCAAUAAAAGCCUGCUGAAUUUCAUCAAAGGCUUGCAUCUCAUCUCACAAAUUGGCAAUAUUGAUUGGCAUCUUUAUAAGCGCAGGCAUGAUGAAUUUAUCACUUCCUUCAUAUUGAUGGCCAUAAAUUUCAACUGUACUUUAUUUUUGAGGCACAAUCUAACUUAACAAAAAUAGUAUUCAAAUUGUCACAAUUUUUUUUAAAAAAAUGAAAAUUCAUAUACAGUAGUUAUUUUUUCUUUUUCUUUACUCCAACUUUUAUUAAAAAGUUAAAUACAAAUCCCGAAGAAUCCGCUAUAUAAUCUGAUAGAAUCUAGAAAACGGAGGUACAUGCAUGGCAAUAUCAUUACUUUGUACGACUGGAUUAUUUUUACAAAUUUUUUUCCAAAGAAACUAAUAAAAUUUAUUAUUUAAUAAAAAGUCAAAUACAAAUCCCGAAGAAUCCGCUGUAUAAUCUGACAGAAUUUGGAAAACGAAUGCACAUGCAUGGCAAUAUCAUUACUUUGUACGACUGGAUUAUUUUUACAAAAUUUUAUCCAAUCCCUUGUUUGAUGCCUGUAAAUCAAUAUUUAAAUGUACAGUUAUUUUGUUAUGUUAUUUGAUUUUAACUAUUAAUGUGAAUAUUGGAAUAUAUAUUUAUAUUGAACUAAUAAAAUAAUUGUAUAAAAACAUUUGAAUAAACUUAAUUAUGAAUUAUGAAUUCAUGAUGUAAGGUAGCGUUUGUUUUUUAAUCUAAAAUCUUAGUGAGUCUGAAUUUAGCUAAAAUCUGAAUAUAUUUGAAUUGCAUAUGUCUAAAUGGCAUGUUUGUUUUCUCUUUUUUGAUGUCUGAAUGUAAGUGACAUCUUUUUUUUAUAAAUAAAAAAAGUCUGAAAUAUGAUUAUUUAACAUUUAUGUUCUUGUAAGAAUUAUUUAUACUUAUUAUAAAUUUUAAGAUUUAAAUAUGUGCACGUUACAAUUAAAAUCAAAGAUAUGUAGAAUUGAGUAAUUGAUCUUUAAAUAAAAAUAUUAUUAUAUUACUCCAAAUACAAAAUUGAAUCAAACUUAUUAUACUUUAAAAUUAAAAUUUAAUUUUAUAAUUUACAUCAUCUUUUUUACCAUUUAAGAUUGUAAAAGCCCAUUCGCCCAAACCUAGUCUUAAUUAGCUGUACAUAAGUGUAAAGGCCCAUAUGUUCUUAAGAAGUGUUGAGAGUUUUCUUAGACCCAUAAGUGAAUGGAUAUGUGUAAUGCCCUCAACUUCAAGCCAGAGUUAUAACUAAUGGCAGAUCUGUGUAAUCCUUUUAAAACCGUUCUCUAAUUAUAUUAAAAGACAAAAUAAAUCUAAUUAAAUUCUUAUAUUUCUCUCUCUAUAAGUUUCUUUUUUUAAUGAGAAAAAGACAUCUACACCCCUAAGGUUUGGAAAAAUGAUCAUCAACACCCCUAUGUUUUCAAAGGUGGACACCAAGACUCCCUUUGAUGAUUAUACUCUUUAUCUCUAUUAUUUCAAAAGAAUUAACUCUAAUAUUUUACAAUAAAUAGAAAUAUGAUAUUAAAAUAAAUGUAAUAAUACGUACAUUUUAAAAUAAUUUCAAUUUUUAAACAAUAUUUUAAUAUUUUAUAAUUUAUUAGAUAUAUUUUACUAUAUUAAAGUAAAUUUUAUGAUAAAUAGAAUCAUAAUAUUAAAAUAAAUGUAUUAAAAAUUUAAAUUAUAUUGAAUAUUAUGUAAAAUAAUAAUUUUAACAAUAUUAGUAUGUGAGAAUGUUUUUAAUUGUAGAACGUAUUUAAUGCAAAUAUUUAUUUAAAAUCUCUACAAUAAAAAAGAUAUUAUUAAAAUAAAUAUGAUAAAUUACAUAUUGAAAUAUUAAAUAUUUUAAUAUUUCUAGUCUACUACAUAGAUUAUACUAUUUAUAUGGUAUUUGUAUUUGCUAAAAAUUUUAAAGUCAAAUUUUUAGAAUAAUAGAGAUAAGGGAUAUAAUGGCCAAAAGAAGGUCAUGGUGUCCCUCCUUGAAAACUUAAGGGUGUUGGUGACCAUUUCCCCAAAUCUUGGGGGUUUAGAUGUUCUUUUUCCUUUUCGAAAUCAUUAGCCCCACACAACUACACCAAACAACCAAAAUUUUGUGGGAUCUGUAGUUCAGGCAGAAGCGGCCGGCCGAAUGCUUCCAGCAACUCAGGCAGAUAGAACCUUGGUUGAUUUGUUUUUCUUCAUUUGAAAUUCUACCUAACGGCUAUCCUUUUAAUUGGUUUAAAUUCUUCUUUUUUCUUUGAGUUGUUGAUUUAUAGUGCCUUACAUGCAAAAUUCAAAAUUUCGGAUGAUGAUAAUCUUGUUUUAGAAGAGAUUUCUAGUUAUGCUAGCAGCAUUCUUGAUCGUGGCAUCACAAGCACAUGCUCUGNNNNNNNNNNNNNNNNNNNNNNNNNNNNNNNNNNNNNNNNNNNNNNNNNNNNNNNNNNNNNNNNNNNNNNNNNNNNNNNNNNNNNNNNNNNNNNNNNNNNGUUCAACAUGUAAUCAUUUAAAAAAGGAUCACUGGCCCUAGCUUACAAAAGAUGAAUUUGUAAGACAUAUUAGUUUUGAUGAAAAUGUAGUGUUAUUAAGUUAUGAAUUCAUUAACUUAGAGGUAUUAAUAUUUACUAAUGAUGGUGAUUAAUUUAUUUAACUUGGUGAUUAAUUAUUUAACUUGUCAUAGUCUUCAAUUAACAAUGAAGUGAAAUCAAUUUAUGGAAAAAAAUAAUAAGUUUUUUACUUUUUAAGAUUUUAAUUCUUAGGAUUUCAUUUUGCUCUUUUUCGAUUAUUGACGUUGUCGAAGAGGGUAAUAAAAGCUUGUGGAAUUUCAUUAAAGGCUUGUAUCUCAUCUCACAAAUUGGCAAUAUCGAUUGGCUUCUUUAUAGGUGAAGCCAUCACGAAUUUAUCACUUCUUUCAUAUUGAUACCCAUAAAUUUCAACCUUAUUUUAUCUUUGAUGCACAAUCUAACUUAACAAAAAUAGUAUUCAAAUUGUCACAAAAUGUUUUUUUUUUUAAAAAAAUCAUAUACAAUAGUUAAUUUUUCUUCUUCAAGUUUUGUAUGAAACACUAAUCUUGCUCUGUACUUUGGAGUAUUUUAAUAAUUGAUGUUAAGAUUUGCUAAUGUAAAGAAAGAAAAAGAGAACCAAUUUGGAAAAGUGAAUACUUAUAGUGAAAGAGAACCAAUUUGGAAAAGUGAAUACUUAGUAGUGGGAGUUCUAUCCUUUGGGGUUUAAUUAAUGUUUGAUGUUGUUUCUGUUGGCCUCAGCUAGUUGUUAAGAUUUCAUACCUUUUGUUGGUUUUUCAUAACUGUGACCUAAAGCUUAAUGUAUACUUUGAUAAUUACAUAAUCGGUUUCUUGCUGAUACUUGGCUUUAAUUUAUAAACCUGAGGCUCUUUUGGGAGUUGGGAAGAUUUACGAAAGAGGAGUUUCUGAUUAUCUGGUUUGUUCUCUUUAUGCCUACAGAAGUUGAAUUCACUCUAUGCAUGAAUUUAUGAUUCUUUUAGAAAGAUUUUAUUCUUGAGAAAGAUUUGAUGAAAUUGAAGCAUUAUAGUAAAGCGUACCACUGGUAAGCUUGAUUCACUUUUUUUCAUUUACUACCAAGAGGUGCCAACAGUUCAUGAUGCACAAAAAGAGGUGGGGAAAAAAAGAAAUCUUCUUGCUAGAUACAUAAAUUUAAUAUUUGAAUCAUUUUCAACCAAAGAAAUGUGCUGAAGAGCACCAUUUUCGUUUAUAUCAAAGUUCAAUUGCAUCUUAUAUCAUCUGUUUCCAUCUCCUUUGUGGUAAAUAAAGUCCUUGGUGAUGACAAUAAGAAUCACAGAAGAAGUUAAUUUCUUAUCUGGAGAUUUUCAUCAUAGUAGUUCAUUGAAAGUGAAGGCAGCUGAGUACUCCUUUUUCUGAUGCAGUCUAUCCCUCUUUGGUGUGAUUAUUUGAAAUUUGCGCAAGAAUAUGAUCCAUCUAUACGAGAAUGUGCCUAAUAAAAUAUCACAAAGGUGCCUAAUACAGUGAAAUUAACAUAUUCAGCUCAUGAGAUUGCCAUUAUAUAUAUUGAAAAAGAAAUUAAUAUAAGAAACUGAAAUUAAUUGACACUGGUUCAUGAUGGAUUGUUAGUUGUUAAUUAUGAUGGGAAUAUAAUCUUGGUCUUUUAAUUAUCAUCUAGCUAAUGCAUGUGCACUUUCAUUUGUGUCUAUCACUGAAGAAUAAAGUUGCUUGAUUGAACAUCAUAUGACAGAAACUCAAAACUCAAUUUCAUUGCCCGAGCAUACCAUGCCAUAUGUGGCUCAAAAGUACAAUUAACAUUGAACGUUCAGCUAGCUAGCUCGUACUAAUUAAUUUAUAGGAUUGCUAGUUCUUUAUGAUUCGCUAAAAGAGAAAAUAUUUGACAAUCACGAAAACAAUAACAAUUCACUCCCAUAAACAACAUAAUAGAUACAUGGUCUAUAUUGCAAGUCUUUUUAUGAUUUUAAUUAAAAGAGAAAAUGCAACGGACAUAUUAUAUAUAAUUGAAUGUUCUCCUUGAUAAUUAGUCAAAAUAACGCCAAUAUGAAUAACUAAUACAAUCAUCAUAAUUAUCCGAUUUUCAUUUUAAUUAUGUCCAACCAUGCUAAUUUAAUAAAGAACACUGACUGAAUACAUGAGCAUUUAUAUGUUCAACAAAUUUGGCUGAGUAUGAAAAAUAUAAGAGCUACAUUUAUGCUUUGUGUUAUUAAGUAGGACAUGACCAUAUUAUGUUGCAUUUGUCAGAAAACUGAAAAUUAUCGAAAAGGAUCCUAAAAGAGAUGUGUUGAGUUGUGAGCUUAAAAAUGAGUUUUAGAAGUUCCUGACAUGUCGGUGUGUAUCCUUGAUUGUGCAUGCCCUGUCGGUUUCUGGAUGAAACAGAAGAAUAUGACAUAUGUGUAUUGUCUUUUACUUCCAGCAAGCACGUGAUUUAAGUGAAUCACAUGUUCUUCACGUGAUUUGACAUACUUUAUACGGAUUUAGCAGUUGUUUUGGUCACUUAUUGAAGCACGAGUUAAGCACGUGAUUCAAGGUUGUUAACUGACCGUUAUAAGGUGGAAAAUUCUGGGUUUCUUACAACAAACCCAGAGGGCAUCUGGUGAGUGGAAGCUGUUUCUAGAUUCUUCAUGAUCUGUAUAUAUAACACAAAACUACAUGCAUGUCAAUUGCUUUAUGUUAAUAUUGUUACUAAUGAGGCAGCUAGUAAUCCCUUUGGUGUAAAUAAUUAACUUUCAUAUGCACAAUAUUUAAAAUAAUCACCAAACAACAAUUCACAAGUUACAUUACACAUAAACAAAAUAAAACUAAUCUAGCAAAUUCAAUCAUAAUAAUUUGAUUUUCAUUUAUAUUAAUUAUUUCCAAUCAUGCUAUUUUUUUUUUAAAAAGAACACUCCAGUGUUUAUAUAUCCAACAGGUAAAAUUUCAAAAUAAUAUUUGCUAAAGUCUGAUGAAGAGAAUAUACACGCACACACAUAUAUAUAACCGUACAGCAGAAUGAUAAAUAAAAGAAAAUGAAGUUUCAACAGCUGAAUAAUGCAUUUUAUUGUUUAAUUAAAAAAUUCGAAAACCCAUUGGCCAUAUAUACAUGAUAAAGACUCACUGAAGCCGAGCCAUAUUAAUUUAAAUUAAUUUUCAAUUGAGAUUUAAAUUUUGAAAUUACAUACACAAACACGCCCAAUUUAAAAAAAAAAGUAGUAAUUAUAAAAUAUUUCAGUCAUUUAUUACAACAUAAGGUAUAUGGGUUAACAAGUCCCAAUAUUGUCCUCCAUCCUUUCUGCACUUCUCUGUUAUCAACGGACAACUCCAGAUCUGUAAUUGCAAAAGUGAGGAAGGCAGGCCCUUCUCCGGAAAGUAUUUGAGCUUGGGACAUCCCCAGAGAACCAAUUCAAUGAGGUUUUGAAGAUCAACAAUUGAAGAAGAUAGGCGUUCCAGAUUUGGAAAAUCUUCAAUCCACAGAGAUGUUAGAGAGGCAGGAAGAGGAAGCGCGGUCCCUAAUCUUUUGUCCUCUAGUGGAAAUGACACCAUGUCUUCAUCGCAUCCACUGAUUAAAAGAUAUCGCAGAGAGGAGAAUCUGUGAAAUCCCCGUCCCCGCUCAAUCAUCGACUUCCAAAUCUCCAUAUUACCCCAAAUAUUAAGUGACUGAAGGUUGGUGGGAAGUGUUGGAAAAAUAGCAUAACAUGCUAUUUUGAGAGCACAUUUUGAGUGGGUCCCACUUAACGAAAGUGGAAAAUAUUGUGAGGUUCGGAUUCUACUCCGUUAAUACUUCAAUAGUAUAAUUUUAUUUUCUCAAAAUGGUGCUUGGGUGAAUGAGAAAUUGUCUCUCAAAGUUCACCCUUGAAGUUGGAAAUUUAAAAGGAAAUGAGUCUUAUCCCACAUGGGAAAAAGAAGCCUAGGAAUUAGUGUUUAAAUAUAAACACUUAACCAUGCAUGAGUAAGAAUUAUGAGGAUAGAGGCUCUCUCCACACGCGCGUUCUUCAUUUAGUGUUUCCGAUUCCUAGUUUACACUAUUGUUUAAAUUAGCUAACAUAUAAUUUGUUAUCUCACUGUUUUAUUGUGUGUUUGUUUAACAGGAAGGCCAUCUUCUUCUUCAAGGCUUGGAAGCGCACCUCCUAUUGUUAAGUAUUGAAGAGAACUCAGUUUGUGCAAUCCCUUGGGUAAGGCCUCUAGUCUCUUACAAUUAGAUAUCUCCAGCCUCCUGAGUUUCGCACAAGGCAAUCCCCCUUCGGGAAAGGAUACCAGAUUUCCACAACUCUGUAUAGUAAUCCCUCGAAACUGCUGGAGAUUAUGUAAACCACUCGGUAAAAUUUUGAGAUUUUCACAAUAAGAAAUGUAGAUAUCUUCAAGAGAUGUGUUGUUGUCCAACCUUUCUGCUAUUGACUCCAGCUUUGAACAUCCACAAACACGAAGGGACUUAAGAGACGGAGGUAGAUUGCCAACUUCAAGGGACUCAAGCGUGGCAGGUAACUCGUUUUUUGAAAAUAUACAUGUCAGUGAUGGACAAUCCCUAAUUUCCAACUCCUCGAGAAGAGAUGAGGUGUACCUUCUGCCGCUGCUACACUGGAUGCCCUCUUCCACUGUCAAAGUCCUUAUAUUAUCGCAACGGCUGAUCUGCAACUUCUUAAGGCUCGAUGGUAGCUGGACCGCAGCAAUAUAUGUCAACGAACGACAAUGCUCAAUAUUCAAGAUCUCGAGAGACGAAUUGGUGUCGCACAUCCAUGCCUCUGGUAACGAUUUCAGCACAUCACAAUACCUAAUCUCAAUUUUCCUCAACUUGGAAGGCAGAGCAACCUCAGGAAAGGAAACAAGGGAACUGCAGUUGUAGAUUUCUAUCUCUCUCAAGGAACAGAGGCUGAGCGAUGAUUGUGGCAGCUUCACAAGGCCUUCGCAUUCGCUCAAUCUUAGAUAUUCGAGUCUGCAUGACAACUCGCAGAGUUGCUGUUGUUGGUCUUUCUCUUCCUCCGCGACCAAGGAUUGAAUUUUGGGACAGCUGUCAAUCGUCAGUCUUUUGAGAGAGCAAAUGUCUUGCAGUAAUUCGUUAUGACUCUUCCAUAUAUGUGUUUCAAUUUUAAUAUUAUUUAUCUCCAAUUCUUCCAGUUUUGGUAUUCGCGGCUUCAAUGGCCCUGCGAGAAACACUUGAUUGAUGUAUCUCUACAAACCANNNNNNNNNNNNNNNNNNNNNNNNNNNNNNNNNNNNNNNNNNNNNNNNNNNNNNNNNNNNNNNNNNNNNNNNNNNNNNNNNNNNNNNNNNNNNNNNNNNNNNNNNNNNNNNNNNNNNNNNNNNNNNNNNNNNNNNNNNNNNNNNNNNNNNNNNNNNNNNNNNNNNNNNNNNNNNNNNNNNNNNNNNNNNNNNNNNNNNNNNNNNNNNNNNNNNNNNNNNNNNNNNNNNNNNNNNNNNNNNNNNNNNNNNNNNNNNNNNNNNNNNNNNNNNNNNNNNNNNNNNNNNNNNNNNNNNNNNNNNNNNNNNNNNNNNNNNNNNNNNNNNNNNNNNNNNNNNNNNNNNNNNNNNNNNNNNNNNNNNNNNNNNNNNNNNNNNNNNNNNNNNNNNNNNNNNNNNNNNNNNNNNNNNNNNNNNNNNNNNNNNNNNNNNNNNNNNNNNNNNNNNNNNNNNNNNNNNNNNNNNNNNNNNNNNNNNNNNNNNNNNNNNNNNNNNNNNNNNNNNNNNNNNNNNNNNNNNNNNNNNNNNNNNNNNNNNNNNNNNNNNNNNNNNNNNNNNNNNNNNNNNNNNNNNNNNNNNNNNNNNNNNNNNNNNNNNNNNNNNNNNNNNNNNNNNNNNNNNNNNNNNNNNNNNNNNNNNNNNNNNNNNNNNNNNNNNNNNNNNNNNNNNNNNNNNNNNNNNNNNNNNNNNNNNNNNNNNNNNNNNNNNNNNNNNNNNNNNNNNNNNNNNNNNNNNNNNNNNNNNNNNNNNNNNNNNNNNNNNNNNNNNNNNNNNNNNNNNNNNNNNNNNNNNNNNNNNNNNNNNNNNNNNNNNNNNNNNNNNNNNNNNNNNNNNNNNNNNNNNNNNNNNNNNNNNNNNNNNNNNNNNNNNNNNNNNNNNNNNNNNNNNNNNNNNNNNNNNNNNNNNNNNNNNNNNNNNNNNNNNNNNNNNNNNNNNNNNNNNNNNNNNNNNNNNNNNNNNNNNNNNNNNNNNNNNNNNNNNNNNNNNNNNNNNNNNNNNNNNNNNNNNNNNNNNNNNNNNNNNNNNNNNNNNNNNNNNNNNNNNNNNNNNNNNNNNNNNNNNNNNNNNNNNNNNNNNNNNNNNNNNNNNNNNNNNNNNNNNNNNNNNNNNNNNNNNNNNNNNNNNNNNNNNNNNNNNNNNNNNNNNNNNNNNNNNNNNNNNNNNNNNNNNNNNNNNNNNNNNNNNNNNNNNNNCACCAAUUACCAAUUUGCUCUUUUUAACCAAACUCGUAAUUGAAAUUGACAAUUCUUUGCAUUCUUGGAUAACAAGCAUCUGCAAUGCAGGAAGGUGCUCUGGAAAUGUUCCUUGCAGUUUAGAACAUCUUAAAAUGUGAAGCUCUCUCAAUUUAGGAAACCGUUCAACUCCCUGACUGGAUCCAUGAGGAAUCCAGUCUUCCCACUCUUGCAGGUCUUCAAAACGAAGAGUCUCCAAGCAUGGAAAUGGAAUUGGAGAGUCAUCCCCAUAGAACUCUACACCCAAUCUCUUUACUCUACUCAUUCCACGCACUGUAAGAUGUUUUAGAGAGGGCAGUUGCCCAACAGACGGCAGGGCAGUACACAUGCUGCAAUCUUCAAAUUUAAGUGUUACUAAAUUUGAGAAUGAGGAAUCUCCUAACCAUGUUGGAAAUUUUGUACCUCCAUAGCCACAGACACAAAAUUGUUCCAGAUUUUUAUGGGGUUUAAGCAUGUCAAGCAUGCCCAUUUCAGUUUCUGCUUCCCUUGAGGAUGAACCAUCGGUGCUGCAAGUCCAAUUAAGCGAUAAUUCUUUAAGAUUCUUCUUUCCAUCCAACCGAGCCUCCUUUGCAUCACCAAUGUCUUUUACAUUCUCUAACUUUGAAAUUUUAAGUGUCCCCUGAAGAUGUAUCAAUGACUUUAGCUCUCGUAACCCAGAACCAUUGUCUUUUCCCACAGCAAAAUUACCCAACGUCUGAAGACGAGUCAGCUUACCAAUUCCUAGUGGCAUUUCCUCCAAGGAAUCUGUAUUUGAAUUAUUGAGAUGAUGCAAUUUGAUGAGGUUUCCCAUGGCUGCACACAACUUCUUCAGUCGCCGACAGUCUUUUAACAGAAGUAUGUGCAAAUUGUAAAGCUUGUUAACUGAUUCAGGCAAAGUUUUAAUCUCAGUUCCAGACAGGUUAAGGUACCUUAAAUACCUCAAAUCACCAAUUGAAUCCGGUAGCUCCGGGAUGCCGUAUCCACGCAAAGAGAAGACCCUCAAGCGUUGGAGUUUGAACAACCUAGGAAGAAUGCUACGAGCCAAGUAUCCAGGCCAGCUACUUAACAACGUUACUGGUAAAAGAGUUCGCAAGUGUUGGAUAUCGUGCAAGUCCUCAAACCUUUUAACACCAUCGUAAUCUCCACGAAUGUACGACAGAUGACGAAGAUUUCUUGAAAAACUUUGUUGCUUGUUAACCUCAGAGAUAUACUCCAUUCUGAAGUACAUUUCCCCAGCAGCCCAUUGAGCAAGGUCAUUGACGAGGUCGUGCAUCACAAAUCGUGAUAUACUGUUGCUCGAUUGCUGGAAAAAAGAUCUUCCACGUAGCUCUUGAAAGAACUUUCGACCGAGAUCUUCACCAGGAUUCCCACUCUCUCCGUGAUCCAAGAAACCCACAGCACUCCAUAAUAAAAUUAUCUCCCCCUCUUCAAAUUCAUAAUCCUUUGGAAACAAUGAGCAAUACGCAAAGCAUUGUUUCAAAGGUGCCGAAAGAUAAUAGUAGCUCACUCGAAGCGCUGGCAUAAUGUCACAUCUCUCUUCUUGCAAUUCCCAUAUCUUGGUACUGAGCACUCUCUCCCAAUCACAUCUGUCAUCUUUUCCUCGCAAAAGUCCUCCAAGUGUUUGCGCUGCCAGGGGCAAGCCAUCGCAUUUGGCCACUAUCUUCUUGCCAAUUUCCUCCAAUAACUUAUUUGACCCCAAAGAAUGUUGAGCAAAUACAGCUAGACAAUCAUCAAUUGACAACUUUUUUAAUUGAUAAGCUGAGGCAGUUCCCAUGAUGUCUCCAACCUCUUGAUUACGAGUUGUGACAAUAAUCUUACUUCCCUUCGCUCCAGCUUCAAACGGACGGCUGAGGCGAACCCAAUCAUUGUAAUUCUCAUUCCAAACGUCGUCUAAAACAAGCAAAAAUUUCUUUUGAGAUAACUUCUUCUUCAGCUCCUCUUGAAGCAAAUUUAAAUCACUGUCAUCAAUAGUCUGCUUGGUAACGGAUCUUAGAAUUGUUUUUGUUAGCCCCUUAACGUCGAAAUCCUCGGAGACACAAGUCCAUGCCUUGAGAUCAAAAUGAUCCUGCACUCGCUUAUCAUUGUAGACAAGCUGAGCAAGAGUAGUUUUGCCCAGCCCGCCCAUACCUAUAAUAGGAAUAACAGAGUAUCCACCAUCGUUGCUUACAUCAUCCCUCAACAGCAGUUCAACAACAUCCUUCUUUUCUGUUUCCCUGCCAUAUACUUUGGCUUCAAUCACUAAAGAGGUUGUCUCUAGCCUUUGACUUGCUUUUUUGGACCCUCCAGCUGAACUUUCUUUCAAAUCUAGCAAGUCUUUCUGUGUUACAAUAUCUUGAAAUCUGUUGUUGAUCUCUUUGAUUUUGGACAUCAAGGCAUAAUCGAACUGAAUCGAUUGUGGAGUAAAAGUGGUGCAGCAAGUAGGAAUGAGCUUCCGAAACUUACUUGUUCUUGUACGACAGCGACUGGGUUGAUCCUGAGCCGCAGCUGGAUCUCCAUUUCCAAGCAGCAACUUCCUCCGGAAAGCCUCAGUUUGAAAAUCAUCCAACAAGUCUUCAACAUCAUAAGCCAAGUUCUGAAGCUCGCCAAGCCACUUCUUCACAGACUGAUUAGUCGUCUUCUUCUCCUCGGCAUCAUCAAGCACCGCCUUGAUCAUCUCCAACAUAUUCGCCCACUUCUUCAGAUUGGCCCGAAUUUGCUGUUGGCGUGCAAACAACCGAAUGCCCUCUGAAGCUAACUUAUUGACCAGCAAAUCAACGGACGCCCUAAGGAUUGCCUCUCCGAUGAUUGACAUUUUUUUUUCUUUUUUGCCUUUUUCCUUUUUGUUUUGCAAAGAAAGAAACAGAAUUUUGAGUUUUGAAAGGCAAAAUGAGAAAAUUGAAUAGAAAGUGUGAACGGUCAAGCAAAAUGUGCGUACCAAGUCACCAGUCACCACCCAUUAAUAAUUUAGCAAUUCACCAAUCACCAGUCACCACUAGUUGAUAUUUGUAGGGCCAAGCAAUAUUACUCCAGUAAUGCUGAAUAAAGAGGAAGGUGGAAUGUCUCUGCUACGAACCUUCGCUUUACAAGUCUUCAAAGUCAUAACAAACCAAGUUAAAUCAAAACGUCUCUCCCUGGGUGUUCAAAGUCAUAUAACUGCUUUAUUUAUUGAUUUAAUUUUAAUGCUAAAACGAAGACUUAAAAGUACGCUACAAUGUUUUAUAAUGUUAUAUUAAUGUCGUGUUAAAAUAAAUUAUAACAAAGUUUUAGCCGACAAUAAUAAAUUCUAUUUAUUUAUUAAAUAUAUAUUUAAUAAAAUAAUAACACAAUUAAUAUGUUAUCAAUCAAAUAAAAACUCUAAUGUGAAAACAAAAUCGGCCCCCACCACCAUCAAUAAUUUAGCAAGCUUCACUUUAUUACAUUAAUGAAAACAAAAACAGCCGCUACCACCUUUAUGUGUUGCUUCCUACUUAGUACAUCUAUUGAUACGCACAUCUACCUAACAUUUAGAAAAUGGAAGUAGAAAUUGGAACUCACUUUAUGGCUCGUAUGCAAUACACGUAUCAACAUUUAAUUAGAGUUCACACACACACACACACGUGUGUGUGAGUCUAGUUUUAAUUGAGAGAUAAAUUAAACAUAAAUACUUAGAUGUUUCUAAAUGAUUGAAUAAUGAUAUUAUUGGUAUUUAUAAAUUUCUAAGAAGCGAUAAUUAUGUGGGGGACAUAUAUUUAUGGUUAUAGAAAAUGGCGGUAAAAAUGGUACAAAUCUAAUAUAAUAAAAAGGUAUAAACUGAAGUAAAUUAAUGUUUACUUUAAAGUACGUUAUAAAUAUCGCUUUCCUUAAUACGCUAUUUUCUCUCACCAAUUGAGUUAUGAAUAUGGAUUAAGCAAAUAUGCAUCUAGGAUACAAUAAAGCACUGAUUUGUUUGUUUACGUUGUACAUCAAUGAAAGCAAACAUAAAUAUUCUUGAAUGUUAUAAGCCUACCGAGAAUUAAUAUAUUAUUCUUACAAAAAAAAAAUAUGUUGGAUAUUCGAUGCAUAAAAAAUAAAUGUUAAUUGAUGAAAUUCUUUUGAAGAAAGAGGACUACAAAAAAAUGGUGUAGGAUCAUUUUAUUCAUGUCUAAUUGACAUUUAUUUUUAUGAAUGUGAGGGUAUUUUGGUAAUUUUAUGGACACAAGAGUCAUGUGUUGUGGAUAGAUGUUCGUUUUAAACUACAUUGCGUGCAGUUAGUCGUAUUUCACAUUUAUGAAAAGUAACUAUGUUGUUUCCUUGAUUAAGAGAAAUUGCGAGUGAGAACCAAACCGCGAAUAUGAACGAUAGUCGAGUUUAGGCAUUGUCACUAUGAGUGAAAUAUGCAAACUCAUUUUCAUAUUUUAUUAUGAUUUUAGAGUGUAGUAAACCAUAUUUGCAAAAUAAGAUUUUAAUGCUCUAAUUUAAUGAUUUCUAGAAUAAAUUUGAUUUACGUAUUGGUACAUUAUUAAAAUUUUAUCAAUAUUUGUUUUCCCUAUCGAUUUUGAGUAAAGUAUGCAGGUACACCAAUCGACCGACCGAUUGUAGUUAUUUUGAAUUUUUGGCCACGUGCUGGCGCUAGGAGAAAUAGAUGGUAUUAUGCAUGUUGAUCAUCUCAUUUUGGAAUGUAUAAUAUAUUGUAUUAUGAUGUGAUGAUUAUAGAUGUUUAAUAUAUGUUGAAAUCAGAUAUUAUAAUCUUUUGAUAUUGGAGAUGUUUGGGUGUUAUUUGGUAUUUUGGAUGAGAAGGUUGAUUGAUGGAACUGGUUAUAUAUUAAACUAUGUUAGGAGUGCUUGUAUAAAUUUACAAUUUUGGGAUUGUUAUAUUUAUAAGGGAAAUAACUGCCGAAUUUUUGGUAGAAUCAUUACUAAUUAAAUUAUUAUCAGUCAAGAUAGACAAUAUAAGAUAGACCCUCAUGGAGUUCGAGGCGAGUCGUCUCAAAUCAAGCCCUUUAUAAAGCUCACUCACCCCUUGUUAGCUCUCACUCGUUACAAGCAUCUAUCUAUCAAUAUAUCAAUCAAUGCUUACAUUUUCUUUCCUCUUAUACAUCAAAAUGAAGUUCACCUUGGCAACAUUGCUGUGGCAUUAUUAUUGUCAAUAGUAUAGAACGUUUACAAUUAUCAACUUCUGGUUGACCAAAAUUUUAGCGACGUUCCAUUCGGAGCCAACUGUGUUGCCUCAGUUAGCGCGAAGCUCUCUUUAAAACCCGAUGUUGAAAUUAAACCAAAAUGAAAUCCUCGGCGCAGCAAUAACUGUACUGAAGGAACGGGCUAUUCAAGCUAGGGAAGACUAUUCUAAUGCGCAUGAAAUUAGCAGAGACAGCGAUGAGCAGAGCGUGCUCAUGGCUUCCAUCUACAAAUGCACACUUGCUGAUCCUUUUAUUAGGAAGCUCUGCAAAUUGUUGGAGUAUGAUAUGUCCAUGAACCACCAAAUACCUUUCAACUUCUGUGGGAUUGGAAGAAAUAUAAGCAGGAUUAGUCUUACUGAACUCGACUCUGAUUGUUCAACAUUGUAAUGAGGGCAAUAGCAAGCCUCGCAGUUUUUAGAACUGGUUUGUACCAAGCUGUAUACUGCUUUGAUGGCCUUCCAAGCCUAUACCUGAAAACAAAAUCGCAAAUUUGAUAAGAACUAACACUGACAGAAGAUAAAGAGUACAAAAAGGCAAGCUUAAGCACUAGUACCACCACCAAACCUCUUGAUAGUAUAUGGAUGUAGAUGCAUACCAGGAAAUAUCUGUCCGAACUGAUAUGGAAACGAACGAGUAUCCAAAUUCGAUCAUCCAUUCCUGUAUUGCACUCAGAUAUACUGGUAUUCCCCCAACAUUCUCUGCCACAGAUGAAGACUGAUCAAAAUUAGCAUCAGCACAUAAUCCACUUGAAUCACCAGUUGUCAUAAUCCCGGACCCAAAGAUGGUAAUAUCAUUAUCAUCACACGGUUUCAUUGGGAGGAGCUCCAAAGAAAUCAACCGCGAAUCUGAGUUGUAAAGUGACCAAUUGUGAAGCACUCUUCGAGGAAGCUCAUCAGGACUAAUUGAAUCAAAGAUUAAAUACUCAUCAUUUUCCUCCUCACUGGGCUUGUAAUAUGCAGGCAGAGGAUAGUCAUCAACAAUUUCAUCCUCAUUGAUUUUACUGCAGAACUUGCUUGAUGAAGCAACUCUCCUCUGAGUUUUAUUAUGUUUCGUUGAUUGCCAAUUCUCCUCUUCCUGCAACAGCCUUGCCAAUUUCAUAUCUUUAUCUUCUUCACCUCCAGAAGCAGAUGAACUAGACUGAUAGUUUUGCUCUUCUUCACCAAUUCUCAUACCUGUAUUUAUGAGACUGCUGGAUGUACUGGUUUCCAGAAUAAUUGAACUCCCUUGCUUCUUAGUUUCAUCCAUCAGUGCAAGGAGCAGAGGCAAGUUCUCAAAGAUCUGAUCAUUUUUCUUGGAUGUCUCAUCUAAACCGAUGAGUUGAUUAUACAUGAAUCCACCCUGUGAGAUUAUAAAUUCCCUCGUUGAUGUCCUGUGAGGAAAAUUCUUGCUAUCACUCAUGGAACAAAAAACUCCUGCAAGCAAUUCAUCGACAGUCUGAUCAGGGUUCCCUCCACAAGAACUUGAAAGUUUUUUAUAGACCUCCACAGAGGCACGAGCCUUUUCAUAGAAAAGGUUUUAUAGUAUUUUAUAACUAUUAGCAGGUUUAACACAAUCAUAGUCUGCAGUGACAGUUGAAAUCCAAAAUACCGGUGAGCCUUCCUCAUAUCCAGAUAUUGCCCAAGAUUCAACUCGUCCGAAAUCUUCACAUCUAACACCUCUUUCCUUCUGUCUUCCACAACAUUUUUCAAGAGGCAAUAUAAGACCUGAAACGAACAAGUUUCCAACUUCCAACAUUUCAACAGACUUUAGGUUUCCACAAGCAUCAUGAAAAGCAAUUUCUGUUAGCCUUCGAUUUGGUCUCAAGUCGUCCUUUCCAGCGGUCAAGCUUAUUGCAACCUCUUCAUUUUCUGCAACAACUUCCCUUGUGCUUUCCACAAAAGAUGCACUUCCAGAGAGGGAAAGACAUUUAUCCAUGAUAUCCAUACAUGCAGCAGCUCUCUUUGGCAUUUUCCAAGAAUUGGAUGCUUUUUCACUAUUUUCAUGUCUACUUCUCUUUUGUUUUCCGGUCGUCUCAGACUUCUCGUCUAUUGUAUUAACUUCAAUGGCUGAAGAUUGCUUUCCCUUGGCUAUUUUUCCAUAUCUAGAAAUUAGUAUCCAAUUAAAAACAGGAAUAAAAGCAGAUACUAUUAAACUCCAUGGUUACUUUGGUAUAUGCGGGGAUCUACUUGUUUUUGUUUCACUUUAUUAAUUAAUUAGCGAACCAAACAUGUAAUCAUUUAAAAAAGGAUCAAUGGCACCAACUUACGAAAGAUGAAUUUGUAAGACAUUAAUUUAGAUGAAAAUGUAGUGUUAUUAAGUUAUGAAUUCAUUAACUUGAGGUAUUAAUAUUUACUAAUGAUGGUGAUUAAUUUAUUUAACUUGUCAUAAUCUUCAAUUAAGAAUGAAGUGCAAUCAAUUUAUGGAAAAAAUAAUAAUUUUUUUAUUUUUUAAGAUUUUAAUUCUUAGGAUUUCAUUUAGUUCUUUUUCGAUUAUUGACGUUGUUGAAGAGGGCAAGAAAAGCUAAUUAACGCUUGACUAGUUCUGAAAAUAUCGGCAGCCAUCGACGGCAACUAUUAAAUGCACCGUUAUAUGGAUUUACGUUUUGCAAAUUGUGGAGCCGUGGCGGGAUGGUAAAAACUGUAAUCAUGUACCGUUAACAUUUACAUGGUUAAUGUCAUCGAGAUCACAUGGUUCUUAUUUAUGAAAAGAGAAUUGCUAGAAAUUUUGUUAAUCCACCAUUGCAACAAUUUAUUGUUAUAAAUUUCAUUGUUUCCCAUAUAACAAAUAUAAUAAAAUCUUGAUAUAUUAAUAGCUCUGGGACCAUGAAAUAAUUUAUUAAAAUUUAACUAAUAUCAAUUAUUCGAUAAAUUAAUUAAUUAUUAAUUUAUGAAAAUAUUCAUUAUUUUAGAAAAAUAUGAUUACGUUUAUAGUAUUGAUUUACCUAGAGUUGGAAUAUGUUAUGUUUUAUUUGAAUAAUACUUUUCUUUUAAGAAUAUUUUUUAAUAGUUAACUGCUUUAUAAUUUCAAAUAAAGAAGUAGAUGAUACUGACGUUGAAUAAUUUUUUGCCGCAAAAUAACAAUACCAACUAGGAUUUCUUUUCGCAUUACAAAAAGUUAAAGACGAGAUCUAAGUUGAAAUUAAUUUAAAAAAGAAGCAAACAAUGCUAAGAACAUAUUUUACCCAAGCUAUAUGGACAUGUCAUAUGGAUUUCGUUUUUAUACUAGGUAAUUAUUAAUUUAUGUGAUAACAUAUUUCCUUCAAACUAUAGUAUUUGAAUUUGAAAUUUUUUUAAAAAAAUUUAGUAUUACAAUUGAUGGUUGUCGAAGCCAACAAAAAUAAAUACCUACUCUAAAUAAAUUGUGUAUAGUGAUUGAGCAGGGUCGUGUCCACAGAGAUCGGUAAUUAUUUAAAUCCUUUUAAAACGUAAAACAUAAAAUGGGGGUUUUGUUGACAAUAAUAAAAAUCAAAUUAAAAUAACAAGAAUGCAAAUUAAAGUUGUAAUUCAAAUUGGAGAAAGCUCUGGUUGAAGGAAUUAACUCAGCUUGAUUCGACUACUGAUCAUUGAUUCAAAUAUAAAUUAUUAUUACUUAUGAAUAGACCGGUUAUAGCUACUGAGACCCUCUAAUAGCCAAUUUCUCCUUAACUAGUCGAUAACCAAGGUACGACCGUUGGUUAUUUCCCUAAUCAAUAGACAACCCUAGAUACGAUCAUAGGAUUUAAUCAAUUGACAGCCAGAAAAACUAGAGAGACCCAAAUCCUAAUCAACAAACACAUACGAUGGUUAAUUUAAAUUAGAUUGUUUAUUCUCACAACACAACUCUCUGCUAUGUUAUUUGUCACAAACAUUAAAAUCUUCAUACGAUGAAUCCUUUAAUUGACAAUAGAUUAAGUUGAUAAUUAAAUAGUGGCCAAUUACCUAAUUAACAAACAUAAUCAUGAAAAUAAUUUAGAGAAUAAACAAAUACCCAAAAAGCAAUAAAACAAUUAAAGCAUAAGAAAGAUCUCACAGUAGUGAUGAAUCAAAGCUUCAUUAACCUUCAACCAGAAAAAUAGGUUUAGUUCUUCAUAGAGAGAAGAGAAAAGUUUAGAUCUAGGAUUUCUUUCUUUUUUCCAAUCUCCCCUUUUUUUCACAAUAGAUUCCUCCCUUAAAUAUUCUCUCUCUCUUCUCCUUUAGAUUUCUAUUUAAAAUAAAAUACUAAUAUAUGAAAUAUUAAAUUCGUAAUUACAAAAAUAACCAAAACUACAAAACACGUUAAACUAAAAACUGCAGGUCCGUAGUUGAUAGCACGCGCCCACGCCUUAUCAACAAAGUUCUUCUGACGCUUAUAAUUUCUCCAAGGGAACAAUCAUCCUUAAACAUCAUUUUAUAGCUCAAUUUUAUCACCAAUCAAUAGAAUUACACCUACAAAAGUAAAACACAAGUAAAUCACUAUUAUUAAGUGCAAAACAUCAAUAUUAAGGAAGUAAAUAAUGCAAAACCAGUGCAUAAAUUGCACUCUAACAAAUUCCCCCACACCAAGAUGAUGCUUGUCCUCAAGCACAUAACUCAAGACUAAUCCCAAAUCUCCACUCAAUUCUCAUCUCAACUCAUCCAAAAAUAAUUUUAAGCAAGCAUACCUCAAGAAAUUAAGUCGAUCAACAUUCGAGAGACAAGGAUUUUAAAGCAUAGAAUCUCAUAAGAUAGAAUAAAAGAAAAACAUCCAACCACCAAGAAGAUCCAUUCAAAAUUCAAGUGCAACAAUAUUUAAUAGCCCUCUCAUUGACUUCACUCCAUGCACUCAAAGUGUUUAGGGUAUCAUUUAUGCACUCAAAUCAAAUCAAAGAAUGCUAUUGCCAUAAGCUUGCUCAUAUAUCACAUCUCAAUCCACAAAACAUGAAUAAAAUGCAAAAAUCUAAGGGUCUUAAAAAGGUUGUAAUGGGGUUAAAUAUGUUAAAUGACAAAGAAAGGUCUACGAAAGAAAAAGAGAUCAAAAUGAGAAUAAUGAACUCAUUGAAUGAACUUAUGAUAUCAAAAUGCUUAUUUCUACUCAAGUCACCAAGAAUGUAAACAUUUUUUUUUCGAUUUUUUUUUAUUUUUCUUUUUCUUUUUUUUCUUUCUCCUUUUCUUUUUCUUUUUUUUGUUUUUUUGUUUUUUUUUCGAAUCAAACAAAAGAAACGAAUCUUGCACAAUUUAAUUCAAGCAUAAUGCUUGUUGAUCUAAUUGAGAAACUUUAAUACAAAUUAGAAAAAGCAACAAAAUAUAUCCACACAAUGAGUCCAAAAAUCUCCUUAAAUUGAGGCUCAAAAAGAAGAAAAAUGGUUAAGUAGACGGAGAGAAUUAGAUGGGUAAUGGUUAAGGCUCAAACAAAGAUAGCAAAUAAAGGUCUUCGGGUAGAGAAAAAAAUGCGAGAAUAGAAAAAUGGAAAAUGGUUUGCCCUUAUCAUUUUAAUGCAUAAAAUCCCAUAAUGCGGCUUCAACAUGCAUAACAAAGCAAGUUUUAGAAUAAACAAACUAAGAUUGAUAUUCACAUAACAAAAAUAAUUAGAGCAAAGUGGUUGCUCAUAGGCUCAAAUCCUCACAAAGUUAGUAAAUUUGCCAUCAAAUCAUGUACACUCUUCAAAUGAAUCAAUCAUCAAUAGUGGUGUAGAAUGAGAAGAAUGUAUGAGUGAUAUAUAAAAGGAAAGGUAAAAAGGAUAAUAAGCGAUAAAGAUGUAUGUAGUAAAAAAAAAAUGAAAGAUAAAAUGUGAGUGAUGAAAGAGUAUGAUAGAAUAAAAAUAGAUGUAAAUAAUUUGAGAUAGAUGGGAAAAGAGUAGUGAGAAAGAAAAGAAAAGAAAAUUAAUAAUAUAUGAAGCAUACUAACUCCAAAAUCAUUUAAGGAUGAGUAGAGUGAAAAUAAUACUUCCAGACAUCAAUAAUGCAAAAAUCCCUCCCCCACACCAAGAACUUACAUUGUCCCCAAUGUAAGAUAAUCAAAGCUCACAUAAAAAUUAAAGGGUAAUGAUAAAAGAUUAAAGGCAAAAACUUCCCUGAAUUGUGAGCUUUGAUCCUCAUAACGUCUAUGGGCUUGGCGGAAAUGGUGGGACAGUUGCGCGCGGGCUGCUGCUGUGGGAGAUGCUGAGAUGCGUGGGUUGCUGGGCGUGCACGGCUGCUCGGUGAACGCAGCUGCUGCUCUGGUGAAGGCUGGAGCGGCUGGUUGCUGGGAAAGAAAACGAUUUUUUUUUUUUUUUUGGUGAUGAAUCACUUGAGACACUAAAAAUUUCAGAAGUAUUUUUUUAAUAAGCACGUGGGCACGCCUUAAAACCAUUUUACUUUAAAAAUCACAGAAGUACUUAUUAGUUAAGACGUGAGCACGCCUUAUCAAAAAUUUUCUUCUGGCCAAAAUAAGCAAACACAUUAUUUAAAAAAAAUCUGAAUCAAAAUUAAAAGAAGAUAUAACAAAAACCAAAAUAAAUAAAUCAUUUGGGUUGCCUCCCAAAAAGCGCAUUUGUUUUAUGUCUUUGGCUAGACACAUUUAUGCAUCAAUCUCCAUAAUUGGGACUCUCGAGAGCCACAUCCUCCACAAUAUUCACCGAAAAACCUUCAUAAAAAGGUUUUAAGCAAUGACCAUUAACCUUAAGAACUCUGUCAGAGGUCGGACUCCGAAUCUCAACUGCACCAUGAGGAAAAACAUUAGUAAUAAUAAAAGGUCCAACCCAGCAAGAACGUAAUUUACCCAGAAAAAGUUUAAGUUUAGAAUGAAAAAGAAGAAUUUUUUGACCAACAGAGAACUCCUUUCUCAAAAUCAUUCUAUCAUGAAAUGUCUUCGUCUUUUUCUUGUAAAAAAAACUUCCUGCACUAUAGGGUUAAUAACAUCCACAGAAAAUACCAAAUGUUCCUCAUUAGGAUAUUUCAUGGCAUCAUUCAUAUUGAAUUCUAUAACCUCUCCAUCAAACUCCAUAGUGAGAGUCCCUUUAUGUACAUCCAUUUUAGUCCUAGCAGUCUUAAGAAAAGGUCUUCCUAGCAAAAUUGGGACAGAAUUAGAGGAGUUAUCAUCUUCCAUAUCAAGUACAUAAAAAUCAGCAGGAAAAACCAACUCAUUAACUUGUACUAAGACAUCUUCUAAUACCCCAUCAUGAUAUGCAUUAGACCUAUCAGCUAGUUGAAUUAUCACACCAGUUUCUUUUAAUGGACCAACAUUCAAAGAUGAAUAAAUGGAACGAGACAUGACAUUAAUAGAAGCUCCUAGAUCUAACAUAGCCUUUUCAACUCUAAUACUACCAAUUUUACAAGGGAUAGUAAACAUACCUGGAUCCUUGCACUUAGGAGGUAGUUUCUUUUGGAGAACUGCUGAAACAUUCUCCCCCAUGUGAACUUUUUCAUCUCCUCUUAAUUUUCUCUUCGAGGUGCACAGUUCCUUAAGUACUUUAGCAUAUCGAGGUAUUUGUUUUAUAGCAUCUAAUAAAGGAAUAUUUACCUCAACCUUGCGAAAUGUCUCAAGGAUGUCUUUCUCUUGUUCCUCCUUCUUGGAUUUUGCAAACCGGCUUGGAAAAGGAGGAGGUAUCACAAUAGGUAGGGGUUUUGCUCUGAUGGGUUGCACAUCUUGAGAUUUAGGCAUCAAUUCAUUCUUCUCAAGCUCAUCUUCUACAUGCUUUGUCACUUUCUUACUAGGCUCUUGCAACUCCUUCCCACUUCUAAGGAUGACAACAUUAACGUUUUGCUUUGGAUUCACCUCAGAUUGUGAAGGCAAUCUCCCUAAUACUUGAGACUCCAGACGGCUCACUGUAGUCGCCAAUUGACUCAUUUGGUUCUCCAAGUUCUGAAUGCUUGCUGUAGUUGCCUGCUGAAAUUGUUGAGUGUUAGUCGCAAGUGAUUUAACAAUUUCUUCAAGAGAUAUGCCUGACUUGGAGUUUGACUGUGGAGGUGCUGGUUGUCUUGGUGGAUACUGAUGUGGGAAUCCUGACGGCCUAACUCCAUAGCUGAAGUUGGGAUGAUCCUUCCAUCCCGGAUUGUAUGUUUGUGCAUAAGGAUCAUACCUCCUCUGAGGCAUGCUUGGAAAUCCUCCAACUGCAUUGGCUUGUUCAACGGGUUCUUCUUGAAGUGUAGGACACAUAUCAGUUGAAUGACCCAUAUUGUAACAAAUGCCACAAGUCUUCACCUGUUGCACAUUACCUACAACAAACUUUUCCACAAGAGAAGUAAGUUUAUCUAAACGUUGUUCAACAAAAGAAAUAUUUACCUCAUUCACCUUCCUUGAAGUGGGAUCUUGCCUGCUACCAAAUUGUUGUGCAUUGGCAGCCAUAUUUGAGAUCAACUCCCUUGCUUGUGCAUUGGCAGCAUCUAUCAUACUCCUAUCCAUUAAUGACAGUCCUUCGUAAAAAUAUUGAAUAAGAAGUUGAUCAGAAAUCUGAUGCUGAGGACAGCUGGCACACAAUUGUUUGAAUCGCUCUCAGUACUCAUACAAAGUCUCCCCAGGAAGUUGUCUGAUCUCACAAAUAUCUUUUCUGAUGUUGGCAGCUCUUGAAGCAGGAAAGUACUUCUCGAGGAACUGCUUCUUCAAUCCAUUCCAUGUUGUAAUCGAUCUAGGAGGCAAGUAGUACAACCAAUUUUUAGCUAGUCCAUCUAAAGAGAAAGAAAAAGCACGCAGCUUAAUCUGCUCUUCAGUCACGACUUGUGGUCUCAUACUUGAACAUACAACAUGAAACUCCUUGAGAUGUUUAUGAGGAUCUUCACCUGCAAAACCAUGAAACUUGGGUAAUAAAUGAAUAAGACCAGACUUUAAUUCAAAAUUUACCUCCAAGUCUACAUAUUGAAUGCAGAGUGGUUGCUGAUUCAAGUCUGGUUCAGCUAACUCUCUACGAGUUCUUUCUACAAGUGCAACUCUAUCCAUCACUUGUUCUUCUGAAUCGCUAGAUGAUUCAACUAAAUCAGGCACCGUAUUUGUUUCAGAAAGCAAAGGCGACGAGGAUCGUUGCUUAGCUUGCUUCGUCUGCUGUCUCAGCUGGCGAGCUGUCUUCUCAAUUUCAGGAUCAAACGAAAGUGUACUUGUACGAGAAGAACGAACCAUACACCAAGUAAAACGUAAAAAAAGAUUAAAUAAACGACACCAAUCCCCGGCAACAGCGCCAAAAUUUGAUGGUUGUCGAAGCCAACAAAAAUAAAUACCUACUCUAAAUAAAUUGUGUAUAGUGAUUGAGCAGGGUCGUGUCCACAGAGAUCGGUAAUUAUUUAAAUCCUUUUAAAACGUAAAACAUAAAAUGGGGGUUUUGUUGACAAUAAUAAAAAUCAAAUUAAAAUAACAAGAAUGCAAAUUAAAGUUGUAAUUCAAAUUGGAGAAAGCUCUGGUUGAAGGAAUUAACUCAGCUUGAUUCGACUACUGAUCAUUGAUUCAAAUAUAAAUUAUUAUUACUUAUGAAUAGACCGGUUAUAGCUACUGAGACCCUCUAAUAGCCAAUUUCUCCUUAACUAGUCGAUAACCAAGGUACGACCGUUGGUUAUUUCCCUAAUCAAUAGACAACCCUAGAUACGAUCAUAGGAUUUAAUCAAUUGACAGCCAGAAAAACUAGAGAGACCCAAAUCCUAAUCAACAAACACAUACGAUGGUUAAUUUAAAUUAGAUUGUUUAUUCUCACAACACAACUCUCUGCUAUGUUAUUUGUCACAAACAUUAAAAUCUUCAUAUGAUGAAUCCUUUAAUUGACAAUAGAUUAAGUUGAUAAUUAAAUAGUGGCCAAUUACCUAAUUAACAAACAUAAUCAUGAAAAUAAUUCAGGGAAUAAACAAAUACCCAAAAAGCAAUAAAACAAUUAAAGCAUAAGAAAGAUCUCACAGUAGUGAUGAAUCAAAGCUUCAUUAACCUUCAACCAGAAAAAUAAGUUUAGUUCUUCAUAGAGAGAAGAGAAAUGUUUAGAUCUAGGGUUUCUUUCUUUUUUCCAAUCUCCCGUUUUUUUCACAAUAGAUUCCUCCCUUAAAUAUUCUCUCUCUCUCUUCUUCUUUAGAGUUCUAUUUAAAAUAAAAUACUAAUAUCUGAAAUAUUAAAUUCGUAAUUACAAAAAUAACCAAAACUACAAAACACGUUAAACUAAAAACUGCAGGUCCGUAGUUGAGAGCACGCGCCCACGCCUUAUCAACAAAGUUCUUCUGACGCUUAUAAUUUCUCCAAGGGAACAAUCAUCCUUAAACAUCAUCUUGUAGCUCAAUUUUAUCACCAAUCAAUAGAAUUGCACCUACAAAAGUAAAACACAAGUAAAUCAUUAUUAUUAAGUGCAAAACAUCGAUAUUAAGGGAGUAAAUAAUGCAAAACUAGUGCAUAAAUUGCACUUUAACAACAAUAGUAGUCGUGAUUCGAUUGGUUUCAAUUUUAUAAGAAAAAAGUUGGGGAAAUAGACAAACAAUGAAGGAACAAGUUAAGGAGAGCCAAUAAACAGGGAAAAGUGAAUUAGUGCCCUUGAGCACAUUAAUAAUCUCGGCUUUCUAUGUACAAUUUUGUAAAUUCAUGUCAUAUACCAGAGUCUUUUGGGUUUUGUUGCAUCAAUUCUUUGGGGUUUAUCUUGUUUUAUUAUUUUAUGAUGCAAGAGUCCUAGUAGUGCUGUAUGUGGAGUAAAAAUAUUUAAUUUAUUUUUUGUUAUUAUUAGCAAACGUUAUUAUUAAUUAAUCAACCCAUCGAGGUAUAUUGAUUUCUUUGUAUUAGCUAAUUGCUUAAUGCUUUUUUGUGCUUCUCGCCAUGAAAUCACGAAGUACUUGCAAAUAAGAUCAUAGAGGUGGUGUGUUGUGAUGUGAUAAAAUCAUAUCUAAAUUAAGAGAUGAUUCAUAUAUAGACACUUACUGAACAAGGAUAUUUAAACACAAGCAUUUAAUUUUACGAUAUACCUAAUAAUCAAAGGUUUAAUGCUCAGGUUAAAACGGAGUGAAUAGAAAUAAAUGUAAAAAGAUAAAAAGAUGAACAAGUGAACAUGAUAAUUUAUUAAAUAAAAAAUUAAAUUUAUAUCUAUUUUAAUAAGUGUGAAAUCAUUUAAUUUAUUUUGAGCACUCAUUUUUUAUUGCAAAAAACUUCAUAAUUUCAUUUACUAAUAAGGACAAUUCAAUAUAAGUAAAUAGGACAAUAAUAUUUUUGACAUUCAUGUAGCGCCCACACAUUCAUGUAAAAUUCUUAAACCUUAAACUGGAGAAUACUCUUCAUCAAAACUCAUUUAAAAGCAUAUUUCUUUGACUUAGAUUUUGAGGAGGUUCUAUGGGAAUAACCAACUGCUGAAAAACAAAUAAAAAACCAGAUAUAAGUGUAGAAUAUUCUCAUUAGAUUUUAAUGUUUUGCACAAACAUGGCCUGCAUAUAUACACAAAUAACUGUUCUACGAAUAUGUAGAAGCAAUCUCAACUGUCCAAUUUUUUUUUUCAAAUUUUAACGAAUAUAAAUUGUAUAUGUUGGAUAACUAUAGAAAAUAAGAUUAGGAAAAUGAUAUUAUCAAUAAAAAGGGAAAGCAAAUGCAUUUAAUAUUGGUGCGAUGAAUAUUCUUAUGGGUGUAAUAAGAAAAACAAAGAUAAUAAAAGGAAUGCUAUUGGUCUUUCAUAUGAUGCACAAAUUACCUUUAUCAAUUCUAUUAUAUAAAUACUCAUAAAUUUUACCCAAAUUAUCAAAAAAAAGAAGAAAAAAAUCAUAUAGUUAAUUUUUCUUCUUCUUUACUCCAUUAUUCAAUAGGAGUAUAAUAAACUAGGAGAAAGGAGAAAUUAAGGAGAAAAUUAGGGUGAUUAUUGCAAUGAUAAGAACCCAGGCAAGUGCUUAUUUCAGGUACAUGCGUGGCAUUCAUUAAUUUGACCAAAAAUAAAUGAAUUUAUUUGUAUUUUAAUUAAAAUCGAGGGACAUCAACAAAAUUUUUCUUCUCCAGGAAUUUAUCAUUUUCUCGUUAAGAAAAAAAUUGCAUAAAAUUAAGAAACCAGUAGUCACUGAACGGGAGAAACAGAGUAAGGAGAGUUCAAAUUUCAAAAGAUGGAACCCGAAGAAGAAACCCUAGCAACGAUCCCAGAAGAAGAAGAAGAUGAUGAUGAAGACACGGCCAUGCCCAACGUUAAGCAAAACCCUAAAACAAAAACAAAAGACAACUCUUGGGACUCGAGCGAUGCCUCUGACUCUGACUCGGAUUCUGACUCAGAAGACUAAGCAAAACAGAACAUGGAGCUUCAAAACUAGAGUAUCAGCUAUCCAAUGAACCUUCCAUUUACGACAUCCAUGUUCAAGUAACUUCAAUACGCAUACUUAUUCAGUGAUUUUGUGGAUACCCAUUUGCUUGUUCUUUCUUAAUUGGGAUGCGGUAAAAAUAGCUUUUUUUUUUCUUCAGUAUAUAAAGGUUUUCAGAAAAAUGGGUGAGAUAGAGAAGCUGAGACAAGCUAGGGAAGCGAUGAAAGAGAUUGUUUGCAUUGACUCCUGCUAGGUGGCAAGAAUGGGCGAGAGAUGAAGCCUCUAUUUCAACUGGGUAUCUGUCAUUUCUUUUUUGCAGUGGUUUUCGAUUUUCUGAACAAAUAUUUUUUCGCUUAGAGAUAUAGAUGUUUAUGUUGUUAUUUGCUGGAACAAAACCUGCUUAAAAGGUAUUAAAGAAAGAAAAAGAGAACCAAUUUGAAGAAGGGGAUAGUUAUAGUGGGAGUUCUAUUCUUUAGGGUUUAAUUGAUGGGAGAAGAAACAGCUUAUAUGUUUACAGAAUUAGACAUUUGAUCACUGAUUUAGUUGAGGAAGAUAUUUAAUCACAAUGUCUGAUGUUGUUUCUGUUGGCCUCAGCUAAUUGUUAAGAUUUCAUACUUUCAUUCAACAAUGCAAUAGACUUUGGUUGGGUCCACCUUAGUUGGGUGUUCUGCGGAACCAAUGAGUGUCUUGAGAAAACUUGGGUGGAGUGUGGAUCAUUUUCAGGAUUUAGUUUCCAAGAAAACAAAAACAAAGUCGUAGUCGUAGUUUAAAUUUAUUAAUGUUUUUGUCUUUUUCUGUGAGCCCAGUGAGCUUUUGUUUUCACUUUGUUCUCUUUUGCUUCUUUCCCUUCUUUUCCUGUUGUUUCUUGACAAUCAAGCAGAUCAGGAUUAAGUGUUUACUUUUGGUCUAAUUAUUCACUCUAACUCGAAUAAUACAUAGGUUUAGUGCUAUCAAAAUAGGAAGUGAAUUAAUAUCUGAAGCUGACUUGGGAGUGGAAUGUAUGUUACUAAAAAUAUAGUAUUAUGGUAGAUAGAAUUUGCUUUUUAGGUAAGACUAAAAUAAUUACCGCUGUUAAUUUAUUUCAAUAAGUUCGUACAUCAUUCGAUAAUAAGUCCAAGAUUUUAAUGGUUUUGUUUCCUGAAAAUUUUUCAUCAGUGCAUGAACAAAGUUCAAUGGAUGAACUUCUCUCAGUUAAUUCGAGUUUUGUAUGAAACACUAAUCUUGCUCUGUACUUUGGAGUAUUUUAAUAAUUGAUGUUAAGAUUUGCUAAUGUAAAAAGGAAGAAAAUCUGCUUAAAGGUAUUAAAGAAAGAAAAAAAGAACCAAUUUGGAGAAGGGAAUACUUAUAGUGGGAGUUCUAUUCUUUGGGGUUUAAUUGAUGGGAGAAGAAACAACUUAUACGUGUACAGACAUAGACAUUUGACUGCCGAGUUAGCUGAGGAAGAUAAUUAAUCACAAUGUUUGAUGUUGUUUCUGUUGGCCUCAGCUAAUUGUUAAGAUUUCAUACUUUUUUCUGGUUUUUCAUAACUGUGACCUAAAGCUUAAUGAAUACUUUGAUAAUUACAUAAUCGGUUUCUUGCUGAUACUUGGCUUUAAUUUGUAGACCUGAGGUUCUUUUGGGAGUAGGCAAGAUUUACGAAAGAGGAGUUUCUGAUUAUCUGGUUUGUUCUCUUUAUGCCUACAGAAUUUGAAUUCAUACUAUGCAUGAAUUUAUGAUUCUUUGAGAAAGAUUUGAUGAAAUUGAAGCAUUAUAGUAAAGCGUACCACUGGUAAGCUUGAUUCACUUUGUUUUUAUUUACUACCAAGAGGUGCUAAUAGUUUAUGAUGCACAAAAAGAGGUGGGGAAAAAAAGAAAUCUUCUUGCUAGAUUUAAUAUUUGAAUCAUUUUCAACCAAAGAAACGUGAUGAAGAGCAGCAUUUUCGUCUAUAUCAAAGUUCAAUUGCAUCCUAUAUCAUCUGUUUCCAUCUCCUUUGUGGUAAAUAAAGUCCUUGAUGAUGACAAUAAGAACCACAGAAGAAGUUAAUUUCAUAUCUGGAGAUUUUCAUCAUAGUUGUUCAUUGAAAUUGAAGGCAGCUGAGUACUCCUUUUUCUGAUGCAGUCUGUCCCUCUUUGGUGUGAUUAUUUGAAAUUUGUGCAAGGAUAUGAUCCAUCUAUACGAGAAUGUGCCUAAUAAAAUAUCACAAAGGUGCCUAAUACAGUGAAAUUAACAUAUUCAGCUCAUGAGAUUGCCAUUAUAUAUAUUGAAAAAGAAAUUAAUAUAAGAAACUGAAAAUUAAUUGACACUGGAUCAUGUUGGAUUGUUAGUUGUUAAUUAUGAUGGGAAUAUAAUCUUGGUCUUUUAAUUAUCAUCUAGCUAAUGCAUGUGCACUUUCAUUUGUGUCUAUCACUGAAGAAUAAAAUUGCUUGAUUGAACAGCAUCAUAUGAAAGAAACUGAAAACUCAAUUUCAUUGCCCGAGCAUACCAUGCCAUAUGUAGCUCAAAAGUGCAAUUAACAUUGAACAUUCAGCCAGCUAGCUCGUACUAAUUAAUUUAUAGGAUGGUUAGUUCUUUAUGAUUCACUAAAAGAGAAAAUAUUUAACAAUCACGAAAACAACAACAAUUCACUCCCAUAAACAACAUAAUAGAUACAUGGUCUAUAUUGCAAGUCUUUUUAUGAUUUUAAUUAAAAAAGAAAACGCAAAGGACAUAUUAUAUAUAAUUGAAUGUUCUCCUUGAUAAUUAGACAAAAUAACACCAAUCUUGGUAACUAAUACAAUCAUCAUAAUUAUCUGAUUUUCAUUUUAAUUAUGUCCAAUCAUGCUAAUUUAAUAAAGAACACUGAAUACAUGAGUAUUUAUAUGUUCAACAACUUUGGCUGAGUAUGAAAAAUAUAAGAGCUGCAUUUAUGCUUUGUGUUAUUAAGUAGGACAUGACCCUAUUAUGUUGCAUUUGUCAGAAAACUGAAAAUUAUCGAAAAGGAUCCUAAAAGAGAUGUGUUGAAUUGUGAGCUUAAAAAUGAGUUUUAGAAGUUUCUUACAUGUUGGUUUGUAUCAUUGAUUGUGCAUGCCCUGUUGGUUUCUGGAUGAAACAGGAGAAUAUGACAUCUGUGUAUUGUCUUUUACUUCCAGUAAGUGAAUCACAUGUUCUUCACAUGAUUUGACAUACUUUAUACGGAUUUAGCGGUUGUUUUGGUCACUUGAGUUAAGCACGUGAUUCAAGGUUGUUAACUGACCAUUGUAAGGCGGGAAAAUUCUGGGUUUCUUACAACAAACCCAGAAGGCAGCUGGCGGGUGGGAGAUAUUUCUAGAUUCUUCAUGAUAUGUAUAUAUAGUCUUAGAGGCUAUAGUUGAGCCAUAUGAAAAGCUUGUAACUUCUUAAUGUUUGUAGCUUGUUCUUGGUUAUUGCUCUGACGAGGGAAGUGAGCUAAAAUAACAUCAACUUUUAUUUAUGGACAGGUUAAGAAAAUUUUUGAGUUCCUGAAAAAUGGCUUCCAUGAGAUCAGCAGUUCUUUGGAUUUAUCUUUCGAAUAUGAUUUGGUUGCUGAUGAGAAAAUUCCAUUCCUAGCUUAUCUUACCAGUGUUCUAAAGGACCAUUCCUUUUUCCCAUAUGAGCCACCAGCUGGGAGCAAAAGAUUCAAGAAUCUGAUUGCUGACUUCAUGAAAAUGUACCACCAUAUUCCUUCACCACGCAUCUGUUUUUUUACUUCUCUGGACAAGUAAUUUUUGUAUUGUCUGUCCUAGAUUCUGUUUUCCCUGAUGCAUUAUUUCAAUUUCUUUGCACGUGAAGUCCUAGGAUCUGUUUCCCUUGAUGCAUUUUUUCAAUUUCUUUGCGUGUGAACUUGGAGCAUUGAUAUUAGUUUAGGGGUGAAUCUAUUGGUCAUUUUCUUGUUUGUAACAAAUAACGUAUGAAACAAUCUUGUUAUUUUUUGUUCUCAAUAUGUAGAGCUCUAUGGACCAAUUGUUUGUCUUCUGUUAUCCUCAUUAGAAUUUCUUCAGACUACUUCCACUUCAUGCUAUUUGUGAUAAGUUGUAUUGUUUUUGUGGUCUUUCUUAUGUCUGUUGGACAAAUACUGUAAUAUGAAAUUUUAUCUAAUGGUCCUAUAUUCCUUUUGCAUCAUGUCCCCUCUAGUAGUUAAAUGUAUUUUUGGAUUUGUCAAUUAUUUGGUUUGAUGAAAUCUUGAUUCUCAUGUUAUCUAUCUGUUCAUUCAACUUGACCAUGGAAUGUGUUGUUGCUGUGAGUUACGCUGCACGUGCUAGUUAUUCGUCUAGUCUUUUUAUGUAAACAUACGGGUUCGGAUGUACUCGUAUAUAUACUGGACCUUAGAUAUUUGCACCUGACCUACUUAUUGAUGUACGUGUAAUAUGAAGAACAUUUUGAGAUCUGGAAUGGAUCAAGACCUGCAAUUUUUAUUUGUAGAUUUUCCACUCUCCAGUCCAAUUAUAAAAGACAGUUUGUGAAUGCUGCAUGAAUAAACUAGCCAAACUUAAAGAUGCUUAAUUGCCUCUUUCUCUUCUUUUGUAUACGAGUAAAACAAUCCACAUUCCUAACUUUUCUUCUCCACUUGUUUCUCAAAAAAAAUUUUCUUUCCUUCAAGAGCUGUGUGGCAAUUGUGAAUGCUCUUCAAUUGUUUUCACCUCGCCUUGAACAUCUAACCAGACGCUUACCGAAGCAAUGGUUAACAAGUUUAGCAAUCAAGGUAUGAUCUAUUUCUGAUUUAUUUUUGUGUUAUUUUUGACAUAGUUGAAGAUGUCAUUUUUUGGCAGAUUUUCUUUGCUAUUCUUGGAACAAGUAAUAGUGCUUAUUGCCUUGUUUGCACACAUACUAGUCUAGACACGCCACAGAAGUUUUUGGAUGAUGAAAUAUCAGAUAGGAACUCAGCACAUUGUUUACCUGUUGCCUUUAUUCCUCAAGUGACAGUAAAAACUAGUAAUUGCAGUAGAUGAUAUAUUUAAUGAAAAUUAAUGGGCAGUCAGACUUUUGUGUUGACAUGAAGGGGGAGAGGACAAAAAGUCGAAGUAAUAUAUGAGUGCUGAGUGGAACAUGUUAAUGCUCAUUUGGAAAAUGGGUGAGGAUCACAGUGCCAAAGCUUGCAGCCUAAGGUUAUCAACAUUGAUGAAGAGGCUGCUGGUAAUUCUUCCGGUGAAGAUAUUAACGCCACGAAAGCUUAAAUGUAAUUGAUUAAAGGAAGAAGUGCUUGCUUUGCUUGAUGUGCUUUUCGCUUAUGAUCUUUUCCUGGUUUUGUUGUGAGAUGUUUCUCUUUGGAUUUUCUGUUUAUUGUACUUUGAUGGGUUUUUGAGGAUGACUUGUAUGUAUUAACAACAAUAAAGUGCUUUUCAUAAAUCCCUAGUCCUACAGCACUAAAAGAAAUUAAUACACUUGGUUUAUUGUUAAUAAUAUAUAUAUAUAUAUAAGCGGACGCUGUAUAACAAUAGAAAGAGCACCCAACAUCCCAAGAUCUUCCAGCAAAUUAAUGAGAUUACUCCUGUACACGAUCAAAAUAAUUACAAUUUUAUUGUAUGUAUAUGUGUGUGUAUAUAGACACACGGCGUAUACAAAAAAUGUAAAUAAUUUUCAAAUAUUAAACAUUUAAAAUAGUCAGCAUAUUAACAAUUUACAAUUUAGAUUAUACGUAGACGAAAUAAUGGUAACAACAAUAAAGUACUUUUUAUAAAUCCUAGUCCUACAGUAGUAAAAGAAUUAAUGAGCUUGGUUUUUAUUAAUAAAAAUUAAAAAAAAAAUCUUUUUCUCCAAAACUUAUUAUGAAUUUUAAGGAGGAAGAAAAAAAAAGUCCUAUUCCAAUUCAUAAAGAGAAGAUACACACGCAUUUGCCGAAGUCUAUGAAGAGAAAUUAAAGUUUCAAGAGCUGAACAAUGCAUUUUAUUGUUUAAUUAAAAAAUUCGAAAAUCCAUUGGCCUUAUAUACAUGAUAAAGACUCACCGACGCCGAACCAUAUUAAUUUAACCGUAUAUAACCGUACAGCAGAAGGAUAAAUAAAAGAAAAUGAAGUUUCAACAGCUGAAUAAUGCAAACUCAUUUUCUUUUUACAAGCAUUUUAUUGUUUAAUUAAAAAAUUCGAAAACCCAUUGGCCUUAUAUACAUGAUAAAGACUCACCGACGCCGAACCAUAUUAAUUUAAAUUAGUUUUCAACUGAGAUUUGAAUUUUGAAAUUACAUACAAAAACACGCCCAUUUUUUUUUAAAUACUAAUAAUAAAAUAUUUCAUUUUUCAUCUAUUACAACAAGAGGCAUAAUCGCAAAAGUGAAAAAUAUUUCAUUUAACAAGUCCCAAUAUUGUCCUCCAGCCUUUAUGCACUUCUCUGCUAUCAACGGACAACUCCAAAUCCAUAAUCGCAAAAGUGAGGAAGGCAGUCAUCCUCUGUUCAAUUAUCAAAAACUCCUUUUACCAUCCAUUUCAACGCCUAAUUUGAAAAAAGAAAAUACUAAUAAUAAUAAAAUAUUCCAGUCGUCCAUCCUUUCACAAAUCAAAAAUAUCACCAAAAACCAAUUUCCAAUCUAUUUCAAAACAAUUUUUGCCAAAGUCCUAUCCUCCACGGCUAAUUAAUUCAUACAUUAAUACAGUCCUCCUUUGCUGAAUAAUGCAAACCCGUUACGUUAUUCUACCAUUUCUUAAAUUUAAAGCAUUCCACCAUUUAAUAAAAAAAAUUCGAAAACCCAUUAUAUACAAUACAAAAAGCCCACCGACACCAAACCAUAUUAAUUUAAAAUAGUUUUCAAUUGAGUUUUGAAUUUUAAAAUUACAUACACUGAAACACACCCGAUUUAAAAAAAUAAUAAUAACGCUAACAAUAAAAUAUUUCAGCCGUCCUCUGCUGAGUCGUCAUCAAAAACCAAUUAACCAUAUAUAGCAACAAGCGGUAUAUGGGUUAACAAGUCCCAAUAUUGUCCUCCAUCCUUUCUGCACUUCUCUUCUAUCAACGGACAUCCCGAGAUCCAUAAUUCCAAAAGUGAGGAAGGCAGGCCCUUCUCCGGAAAGUAUUUGAGCUUGGGACAUCCCCGGAGAACCAAUUCAGUGAGGUUUCGAAGAUCAAUAAUUGAAGAAGAUAGGCGUUCCAGAUUUGGAAAAUCUUCAAUCCGCAGAGAUGUUAGAGUGGUAGGAAGACGAAGCACGGUCCCUAAUCUUUUGUCCUCUAGUGGAAAUGACACCAUCAUCGUGUCGUCAUCGCAUCCGUCGAUUGUAAGAUGUCGCAGAGAGGAGAAUCUGUGAAAUCCCCGGCCCCACUCAAUCAUUGACUUCCAAAUCUCCAUAUUACCCCGAAUAACAAGUGAAUGAAGGUUGGUGGGAAGGCCAUCUUCUUCAAGGCUUAGAAGCGCACCUCCUAUUGUUAAGUCUUGAAGAGUGCUCAGAUUGUGCAAUCCCUUGGGUAAGGCCUUUAGUCUCUUACAAUCAUAUAUCUCCAGCGCCGUGAGUUUCGCACAAGGCAAUCCCCCUCCGGGAAAGGACACCAGAUUUCCACAACUGCCAAUACUAAUCUCUCGAAGCUGGUGGAGUUUAUGUAAACCACUCGGUAAAAUUUUCAGAUUUUCACAAUUAUAAAUACUGAUUGUUUCAAGAGAUGUGUUGUUGUCCAACCUUUCUGCUAUUGACUCCAGCUUUGAACAAUACCGAACACGAAGGGACUUAAGAGACGGAGGUAGAUUGCCAACUUCAAGGGACUCAAGCGUGGCAGGUAACUCGUUUUUUGAAAAUAUACAUGUCAGUGAUGGACAAUAGCGAAUGCCUAAGUGCUCGAGAAGAUAUGAGGUGUACCUUCUGCUGCUGCUGCUACACUGGAUGCCCUCUUCCACUGUCAAAGUCCUUAUAUUAUCGCAAUACCAGAUCGUCAACAUCUUAAGGCUCGAUGGUAGCUGGACAGCAGCAAUAUAUGUCAACGAACGGCAACCAUGAAUACUCAAGAUCUCGAGAGACGAAUUAGUGUCGCACAUCCAUGCCUCUGGUAACGAUUUCAGUGCAUCACAUUCUCCAAUCUGAAUUUUCUUCAACUUGGAAGGCAGAGCAACCUCAGGAAAGGAAACAAGGGAACUGCACUUGAAGAUUUCUAUCUCUCUCAAGGAACUGAGGCUGAACGAUGAUUGUGGCAGCUUCACAAGGCCUUCGCAAUAACUCAAUAUUAGAUAUUCAAGUCUGCACGACAACUGGCAGAGCUGCUGUUGUUGGUCUUUCUCUUCCUCCGCGACCAAGGAUUGAAGUUUGGGACAACUUGUAAUCGUCAGUCUUUUGAGAGAGCAAAUGUCCUGCAGUAAUUCGUUAUGGCUCUUCCAUAUACAUGUUUCAUUUUGAAUAUUAUUUAUCUUCAAUUCUUCCAGUUUUGGUAUUCGCGGCUUCAAUGGCCCUGCGAGAAACACUUGAUUUGAUGCAUCUCUACAAACCACUGAAUUCUGUGAGCCGAGAUGAUCAGUUGCACUUCUCCACACAACCUUUUUACAUCCACCAAUUUCCAUUUUGCAAAGAGCUGGAAGACUCGUAAUUGAAAUGACAAUUCUUUGCAUUCUUGAAUAACAAGCAUCUCCAAUGCAGGAAGGUGCUCUGGAAAUGUUCCUUGCAGUUUAGAACAUCUUAAAAUGUGAAGCUCUCUCAAUUUAGGAAACCGUUCAACUCCCUGACUGGAUCCAUGAGGAAUCCAGUCUUCCCACUCUUGCAGGUCUUCAAAACGAAGAGUCUCCAAGCAUGGAAAUGGAAUUGGAGAGUCAUCCCCAUAGAACUCUGAACCCAAUCUCUUUACUCUACUCAUUCCACGCACUGUAAGAUGCUUUAGAGAGGGCAGUUGCCCGACAGACGGCAAGGCAGUACACAUGCCGCAAUCUUCAAAUUUAAGUGUUACCAAAUUUGAUAAUGAGGAAUCUCCUAACCAUGUUGGAAAUUUCGUACCUCCAUAGCCACAGACACAAAAUUGUUCCAGAUUUUUAUGGGGUUUGAGCAUGUCAAGCACGCCCAUUUCAGUUUCUGCCUCCCUUGAAGAUGAACCAUCGGUGCUGCAAGUCCAAUUAAGCGAUAAUUCUUUAAGGUUCUUCUUUCCAUCCAACCGAGCCUCCUUUGCAUCACCAAUGUCUUUUACAUUCUCUAAUUUUGAAAUUUCAAGUGCCCCACGAAGAUGCAUCAACAACUUUAGCUCUGAUAACCCCGAACCACUGUCUUUUCCCACAACAAAAUUACCCAGCGUUUGAAGACAAGUCAGCUUACCAAUUCCUAGUGGCAUUUCCUCCAGGGAAUCUGUAUUUGAAUUAUUGAGAUGAUGCAAUUUGAUGAGAUUUCCCAUGUCUGCACACAACUUCUUCAGUCGUCGACAGCCCUCCAACAGAAGGGUGUGCAAGUUGUAAAGCUUGCUGACUGAUUCAGGCAGAGUUUUAAUCUCAGUUCCAGACAGGUUGAGGUGCCUUAAAUACCUCAAAUCACCAACUGAAUCCGGCAGCUCGGCGAUGCGAUAUCCACGCAGAGAGAAGACCCUCAAUCGUUGGAGUUUGAACAACUCAGUAAGAAUGCUAGGAGCCAAGAAUCCAGGCCAGCUACUUAACAACGUUACUGGUAAAAGAGUUCGCAAGUGUUGGAUAUCGCACAAGUCCUCAAACCUUUUAACACCAUCGAAAUCUCCACGAAUGUACGACAAAUGACGAAGAUUUCUUGAAAAACUUUGCUGCUUGUUAACCUCUGAGAUAUACUCCAUUCUGAAGUACAUUUCCCCAGCAGCCCAUUGAGCAAGGUCAUUGACGAGGUCGUGCAUCACAAAUCGUGAUAUACUGUUGCUUGAUUGCUGGAAAAAAGAUCUUGCACGUAGCUCUUGAAAGAACUUUCGACCUAGAUCUUCACUAGGAUUCCCGCUCUCUCCGUGAUCCAAGAAACCCGAAGCACACCAUAAUAAAAUUAUCUCCUCCUCUUCAAAUUCGUAAUCCUUUGGAAACAAUGAGCAGUAUGCAAAGCAUUGUUUCAAAGUUGGAGGAAGAUAAUAAUAGCUCACUGCAAGGGCUGGUAUAAUGCGACAUCUCUCUUGUGGUAAUUCCCAUAUCUUGCUACUGAACACAUCUUCCCACUCACGUCUGUCAUGUUUUCCACGUAAAAGUCCUCCCAGUGUUUUUGCUGCCAAGGGCAAGCCAUUGCAUUUGAUCACUAUCUUCUUGCCAAUGUCCUCCAAUGACUUAUGAGAACUGAAAUCUCUCGUUCCCAAAGAGUGCUGAGCAAACACAGACAGACAAUCCUCAGUUGACAAGUUUUUCAAUUCAUAAGCUUGAUCCGGGCUCAUGAUUUUUGCAACCUCUUGAUUGCGAGUAGUGACAACAAUCUUACUUCCCUGUGCGCCAGCUUCAAAUGGAAGGCUGAGGUCGACCCAAUCAUUGUAAUCCUCAUUCCACACGUCGUCCAAAACUAGCAAAAAUUUCUUUCCAAACAGGUGUUUCUUCAAUUUCUCUUGAAGCAAAUUUAAGUCUUGAUUAUCCACAUUCUGGUCAGCAGCAAUGGAAAUUAGGAUUGAUUUUGUAAGCCUGAAAACAUCAAAAUCAUCAGAGACGCAAGUCCAUGCCUUGAGAUCAAAAUGAUCCUCCACCUGCUUAUCAUUAUAGACAAGCUGAGCAAGAGUGGUUUUACCCAGCCCGCCCAUACCUAUAAUAGGAAUAACAGAGAAUCCACCAUCAUUUCUUGAAUCAUCCUUCAACAACAAUUCAACAAUUUCCUUCUUUUCUGUUUCCCUGCCAGAGACCUUGGCUUCCUUCACCAAAGAGGUUGUGGGUAGUCUUUGCCUGUCUUUUUUGGACCUCCCAGCUGAACUUACGUUCAAACCCAGCGAGUCUUUCUGUGUUACAAUAUCUUGAAAUCGGUCGUUGAUCUCUUUGAUUUUGGACCUCAUGGCGUAAUCGAACUGAAUCGAUUGUGGAGUAAAAGUGGUGCAGCAAGUAGGAAUGAGCUUCCCAAACUUACUUGUUCUUGUACGACUGCUACUGGGUUGAUCCUGAGCCGCAGCUGGAUCUCCAUUUUCCAGCAGCCACUUCCUCCGGAAAGCCUCAGUUUGAAACUCNNNNNNNNNNNNNNNNNNNNNNNNNNNNNNNNNNNNNNNNNNNNNNNNNNNNNNNNNNNNNNNNNNNNNNNNNNNNNNNNNNNNNNNNNNNNNNNNNNNNNNNNNNNNNNNNNNNNNNNNNNNNNNNNNNNNNNNNNNNNNNNNNNNNNNNNNNNNNNNNNNNNNNNNNNNNNNNNNNNNNNNNNNNNNNNNNNNNNUAUUGACCAGCAAAGGGUGCGGAAGGGUUGCUCUUUGGGAGGAUGGAAUUUUUUUUUUUUUUUUUUUUUUUUUUUUUUUUUGGGGGGGGGGGGGGGGGGGGCGCAAAGAAAGAAGCAGAAUUUUGAGUUUUGAAAAGCAAAAUGAUAAAAUUGAACAGAAAGUGUGAAGGGUCAAGCAAAAUGAAUGUACCAAGUCUUCCACUUGUUGUUUAUUCCAGGAAAGGGAAAAUAAAAACAGAGCCCACCACCCAUUAAUAAUUUAGCAAUUCACCAAUCACCGGUCACCACCACUUGUUACCAGAUUCAAUAAAUAUAAAAUCGCACGUUGAUAUUUGUAGGGCCAAGCAA
rnacentral:lncRNA from 1 species